AUAGCACCACUACCACCAACAAAAACUCCAUCACCACUAAGACCAUAAAAAACAACAAGUCCACCCUCCAAAAUUAUUUUUCUUGUAAUGGUUGUUGCUCCAAAUAAUUUCAUUUUAUUCUGUCAAUGACCUUAGGAUCCGAUAAAGUUUGCACAGACCAUAAAGUAACAAAAAAUGGCAUCUUCAACUCUCGAUUGGUCGGAACUAGUGACGGAUACACAAUCUAACAUAAAUCAUUACAUAUAUUAGAAUGAUGAUUAGAUCAUUCAAAAAAAUCGUUAAUUAAAAUUAAAAAAAACUUAAUUAUAAUUAUACUUACUGCAUCUUUUGAGGAGUUGAAGAGAUCAAUAAAUUAUAUAUUUUUAUCAAUUUUGGCCGACAACCAUCUCAAGAUUCUUGGACAGAAAACUUCUUCCUAGCAGGUCACUUGUUGUCUCAAAUAAGGAAUGGCUUCAAACACCCAAGCCUAUAAAAUAACGCCAAUAAAUCAAAACCAUUAUUGAGUAAAAAAAAAUGAAUGAUAUCAUAAUAAAAGAAAAAAAAAAUUACCAUGAAAGCCUAUGGAAAGCCAUAUAAGUUGACUGUCUUUGACGAGAACGGAGUCAACAAAUAUUUGACAGUCAUUUUGAAGCUUUCAUAACCCCAAGAAUAGUUGUUAAAUACCUUAAGAUCCUCGGAGAGCUUUAUUAAACCAACACUUAUGUUGUUAAUAUCUCUUGCACAAAGAAUAUUAUGUACAAACCAAACCAAGCACUAUAACUACUUGUGCUUCUUUGAAAUUCUUUUACCUUUCAACUUUUCUAUCAAAUUUUUAUUUUUGGAGCUUGGACCAACAAUGGACACCAGGUCAUCAUGAUCACACGACUUACCUUUACCUUUUUUGGGUGUACGGGGUGUUUUUUUUUGGGGUUAGAAUAGGUAUAACAUGAAAAGGAGGAUAACAUUUUAUUUCAGUAAUUAUGGCAAGCUCCUUCCAACCAAAACAAACAGGCAUGCCAAAGUAAUUUAUCCACACCUCAUCCAUCUUAUCUUUAUUUUCAUACAUUAACCUAUUCUUGAGAAGUUCAUAUACCAUUUUCAUUUGGAAUAUUUCCCAAAGAAGCUGUCCCUGAAAUAAGCAUCCAAUUUUUAUUCUCAAAAUAUUUUUCUGAAGGCAUCAAAAGAUUUUCCCAUGGCUGACUUAACUACGAAAUCAUCCGUUAAAUCUGUGGCACCAUCACACUGUAUUCUCACAGGAUAAUAAUCAAUGCUGAAGGUUUGACCAACUCUUUGGUGGAAGGGCUAUUAACAUUUGGAUCAUCUCUUUUGAAACAUUCUUCCUCCCCGUGUUUAUCAUAUUCUACUCCUGAUUGAGAUAAUAAGCUCAUAGAGUGGUGGAUGUACCCUAGAUGCUUCACUUGUUCCUUUACUUGGACUUGAUUCGGUUUUUAUUCUUCCAUAUUAUCUAAAAUUAACAGGAACAUAAAAAAAAUAUUAUAGUUGAUUAAUGCAUCAUUAAAAAGGGAUAACAGUAAAUCUAACAUGCAAAAUAGUAAAAUAACAGGUGUAAUAAAUCACACAUCUAUUGCACCAGGUAGGUUAUCUGUUGCACCAAAUAACUAACCUAUUGAAAUAGAUGAGUAAUCUAUUAUAACAAUACAAAAUAUAUCACUCAUCUUUUAAGAUAGAUGAAUGGUCUGUACAACAGAUCACAUAUCUGCUACAAUAUAUGAGUGAUCUAUUGGAACAGUAAAUAACCUAUUGCAAUAAAUGAGUAAUCUAUUGAAAUAAUACAAAAUAUAUCACUCAUCUUUUAAGACAGAUGAUUAGUCUAUACAAUAGAUCACACAUUUAUUGCAAUAUUUAAGUGACGUGUUGGAACAGUUAAAUAACCUGUUGCAACGGAUGAGUAAUCUGUUGCAAUAAUACAAAACAUAUCACUCAUCUAUUGAGAAAGCUAAAUGGUCUAUGCAACAGAUCACACAUUUAUUGCAGCGUAUGAGUGAUCUGUUGAAACAGUUAAAUAACCUGUAGCAACUGCUGAGUAAUUUGUUGCGACAAUACAAAAUAUACCACUCAUCUAUUGAGAAAGAUGAAUGGUUCGUGCAACAGAUCACAUAUCUGUUGCAACAUAUGAGUGAUCUAUUGGAAUAGUUAACUAACCUAUAGCAACGGUUGAGUAGUCUAUUGCGACAAUACAAAAUAUAUCACUCAUCUGUUGAGAAAGAUGAAUGGUCUGUGCAAUAGGUCACACAUAUGCUGUGAUAUAUGAGUGAUCUGUUGGAACAGUUAUCAACGAUCAAUAUUGUAUAUAUUUUUUCCAACAAAAGGGUCAUCUGUCGUGAUAGAUGAAUGAUUAGUUGAAAAAAUUAAGUCUUGGACAUGUCAUGUUAAAAGAGUUAAUAGGAUUUUAUCUAAUAGAAGGUUCAUCUGUUGUAUCAAAUCUUUAAUUCGAUGGUUUCUCUAUUGCAUCAUAUGGUUAAUCUGUUGUAUCAGAUUUUUAAUCCGAUGGUUCCUCUGUUGCAUUGGAUAGUAUAUUUGUUGAAUCAUAUAAUUAAUCUAUUGCAAUAUAUGGUUAAUCUAUUGCAUCAGAUGAUUAAAUUAUUGUAUCAGAUGGUUAAACUGUUGCAUCAUAUGCUAAGUCUGUGGCAUCAGAUUUUUUUAUCCGAUGGUUCCUCUGUUGCAUCAGAUGAUUAAUAUGUUGCAUUAGAUGGUUAAUCUAUUGCACCAGAUAGUUAAUCUAUUGCAUUAAAAUUUUAAUUUGAUGAUUUUUCUAUUACAUCAGAUGGCUGAUCUGUUGCAUCAUAUGCUAAAUCUGUUGCAUCAGAUAGUUAAUAUAUUGCACUAGAUGGAUAAUCUAUUAGAGCAAAAAAUAAUAGCAUGAUUUUGUUCAAUAGAACAACAACAAUAUCACUAUUUUACCAAGAACAAGAAUAAAUCAACCCAACAACGGGCGCAACAAAUUAAACUUCGAAAUGAAACAACAAAAGAGAAGAAAAGAAAAGAAAUACCAAAACUUAGAAUUUUAUUCAAACUGCAUUUCAAAUUAAAGUAACAAUUAUUGAAAUUGUUAACCAAUACUAUAAGAGAAGUUGGCUCAAGUUCCUCGUUUUCUUCAAAACUAAAAAGGCCAUAAUUUUUUACCUGUGAAAGAAGAAAAGGAACGAUGAAGAAUUCAAAGCUGUUGUGGUCAGAGAGAAAGGUUGUCACGUCGAUUGACGGUUGAAGUUGAAAAGGAACUCGAAGCCCAACUAUUUAUCGUUAGAGGUUGAAGUCGCCGGGGAUUGAAAGGAGAAAUUUGCAGAACUGUUGGUUGAGAGAAGCUGUUGAGAGAGAUGAGAGAGACGGUCGAUGAUUUGGAUUAAAGAGGGGUAUGGGUUGGGUUGAUUUGUGCUUCUACAAAGAUUAGAAAGUUUUGAAAAUAUUAAUCAAGUUCACAAUUAACUUAAUCAAGUUUUCUAAUUAUGUUUGACUCUUUAAGUUAGUCAAUGUCACCAAUCCUUCAUUCAAGACUUAAAAGACACCUUUCAAUCAAUUUUCUCUAAUCAAAUGAGUAUAUAGAAUAUAUAUGUUCAUACAACUAUAUACAAUUAAGGAUAUGUGUAUACAAAACAGACACACAUACACACUUAUAUAAACAUACGCAUCGAUAGAAAUAUACAAUCAAAUUCACUUUAUGACUAAAAAGAAUUCAUAGAUACCAAUAUAUAUUUACUCAAAUCUUUCAGAUAAACAUGAAUUGCUAGAAUUUAGAUUAUAUGUAUAAAUAUACAAAUUCAAAUGUAUAAAUAUAUACAUAUUCAAGAUAUAUAAAUUCAUUCAAAAUAAUAUCUAUUGAAGGAUGAAGAAAAUAAAAUAAAAUACAUACAAAAAUACAAAUGCACUAGUAGAAAUAUACAAACAAAAUUAGUUUAUGAUUAAAAAAAUUCAGAGAUAAAAAUAUACAUUUAUAUAAAUGUAUUUCAUCUAUAUAAAUGACUAGAACGAAGAAGAGAUGAAUCUGCCGUUGUGGAAUUUCACCAGCGACGAGGAUGAGGAAGAGGGGGAUAUGUCUUCAUGAAUUUUCAACGAAGAAGGAGGCAGUGAGGAAGAUAGGUGAGGGUCGCCAGAAAAUACAACGAGAAUGAAGAAGAGAUGAAUCUUUCUUUCUAGAAUUUUCUUGUGUUGACUCUUCUACUUCCUGUCCAAAAUUAUUGUGUAAAUUCUUAUUAAAGAGACUUUGCACCUGUGCACUCAUAUAAAUUGGGUUUCUCCUUCUCCCUUAUUUUCUUUCAUCUUUGAAAUGGCCUUCAAUUCGCUUGUGAUCGCUAAUGAAUUAUGAAAGUGUGUCACUUCUCCCUCAGAUUUCACCAGAGAAAGAGGUUUUUUACCUUUGGCUUUGGGCGAUGUGAAAAAAAAAGGAAAACGAGGAUUGCCCCCAUGAAAUUUUGUUGGAGAAAGAGGUGGUGAGUAAUAGGGGUGGGAGUGAGAGAAAAAACUAGGCAAUUAGGUGAGAGAGUAUCUUUGCCUAAUUUAAAAUAAAUUGAUAUAUACGCCACUCCAUUUAUAUACGAGGGUUCACAUACAUAACAGCUACUCUAACUACCUUUAAUCAUGUAAAGUAAUUAUUUUAAAUAUUAACUAUGCCAGAUAAUUAUGAAGUUAUUUUAUCUAUACUAUGUAAUUUUUUAUUAGAGAUAAACAUCUAGUAUCUCUUCGAACUAUGGUCAAAGUUGCUAUGACACACUCUAACUUCACAGGAGUCCUAUUAUUCCUCCUCCCUCCCCUCCCCCCUUCCCGAACUCAAUUUUUAUAUAUUUUUAUCACCUUUUUGUGAUGACAAAGCACCUUUAUUACAUAGAAUAAGACCCAUAUCAAAGGUAUCACAUCAGCUAAAAAAGGUUGACAAAAGGUGUCACGUUAGCUAAUAGGGAUGACAAAAAUAUGCUAAAAUUUAGUUCAUAGUGGUAAUAGGACCACAACAAACUUGGUCAAAGUUCAAGUACUGAAUGUUUUACUCGUUUAUUAAAUAAAAUAGGAUGAGUUAAUAAAUGAAUUGGCCUAAAAUCAACCCAAAAACUAUAUGGGCUAAAAUGGGUUUGACUGAAAUUGACUCCAUAUUUCACUCCCGCCGUCAAUUUCAACAACAAGAAUAAGAAGAAUAAUUUCGGUAGAGCUCCUCAAGGUUUUUGUAGAGCUCCCAUAGAUUACGCAAGAAUUUGAAAAUACAGCAAAGGAUUUUUGACAAACUAGAGAAAAUCACGAUCUUUCACACCAUCAUCCAUUCCAAUAACAAGAAUAAGUUGAAUAAGAAAAAACCAAGUGAGAAAUAGGGAUAUAAAAGUGUAAAAGAGGCAGUCCACAUAGAGACAACAAAAGCAAGUUGUCAAUUAAGUGAAUAUCUUUUAUAUGUAUGUAUGUAUGUAUGUAUGUGUGUGUGUGUGUGUAUGUAUGAGAGAAGAGCGGUUAUGCAAGAAUUUGAAAUUACAGCAAAGGAAUUUUGCCAAAUUAGAGAAAAUUCGAAGAGAUUGUGAGGUAGAUGGGAGCAUUUGACAGAUGUUUAAUGUGUAGAAGAAGGGGUGAGUUUAAUUAUGCGUGAUUUGGUGAUUAAAAAGUGAUGUGACAAAUAUAAUUUUUUACAAAAAAAAAAAAGAAAAAGGAGGAUUGAAAAAUUCCAGCAAAGCAAUUAACGGUAACACCGGUAUAUAUAGAUCAAAACUUGGGAACAGGGGUAUAUAUGGAAAAAACUUGAAUGGCAAGGGCAUUGGCGAGCUAAACUUGAAAAGGAGGGUAUAUAUAGAUAUUUUCACAAAAUUUAUGGGUAUAUUUAACCCUUUUUUCCUUUAAAUUUUAAUAAUAAAACCGUCUUUAAAUUGAUUUUGAUGAUUGGAUCUCUCUAUGAAUGAAAAAGAGGUGCUUCGGAUCGGAAGUAACUACUAGUGAUUGGGUAAAAAUAAGGGAAAGAAUAAAGAAAAGAACGAUAUCGACGUUAAAUCAUUAAUUAGUUAUUGUAGAGAGAAAAUCAGCACACAGACCGUACUCGAGUUUUGAAUCAAUCUCCCAGAAGCAAGGAGUAUGUCCGCGUGUUCCAACGAGAACAACAAAAAAACGUAACUUAAUUCAGCUCCAUGUAACUCGAAAGUGAAACUUCCAUGUGGAAUUCGAGUUAAUGGGAUCUAAAAGCAGAUACUAAUUAUUCGAGUGAAAGAAAAAACCGUCUAAAGGUAAUUAAGAAAUUAAAAUCUCACAAAUUCUAUUUACCUUUCAAAACCUUGAUGAUCUGUAUGUAUAGCAAUAAAUUAUUGAUUUAUCUACAGAGUUUAAAAAGAAUUCACAUCAUCAGUUACUAUUUGAUUUAGUAAUCUCUCAAUUAUUAUAAAUAGUUAUCAGUGAUUAUCUUCGUAAGUGAUAAUAGUAUAAAAAUCGUUUCACACAAUUAAGAUACAGAAAUUAAAGUACAUUUUCUAAAUAGUAACUUAAGUUUUAGGAAUUUCUUUCAAUUAUCGUUUAUGUUUAAUUUAGUGCCACAAUAUCACUCAACUAUCACUCUUUUUUCAAAAUAUACUAAACACCUUAAAAGUAUUCUUCUCUUUCAGUUGGCAUGUCAUGUCAUUAAAAUCACAUUUUUUUAAAAUAAUAAACCAUUUAAUUCAACAAACUCAUUUAACCAAAAUUAUAACUUUAUUUUUAUUUUUUUGAAAAAAAUGUGUUAUUGUAAUUUUCAUGCUUAGAAAUUCUUUACCAUACUUAAUCUUCACCAUAUUAUUUUACAUGCAAAUUAAAUUCUCUAGAUAACUUAUUUAAUUUAGUGAUAUUAUUUUCUUUAGAAAACAACUGAUCUUUAUAGGCAAUUAUAUAUAAAAACCUAAAUGACCAUCUAGGAAAAUAACUCUAGAAAAAAAAAUAUAAAUACCUAAGUGUGAGAAUUUCUUAUUAAUAUUUUUUUUUAAAAAAAAAAAUAAGAUUAUAAUUUUAGUUAAAUAAGUUUAACAAGUUAAUAUGUUUAUUAUUAUUUUAAAAACGGUGAUUUACUGCUAUGACAUGCUAAUAGAAGAGGAGGAACUAGACUUUUGAGGUAUUUAGUGAUUUUUUGAGAAAAAUAUUUUUAACUGGGUGAUAUUAUUGUCUUAGCAAAACAAAAAGUAAUUUUUAUAAGCGACUCCAAAAACAUGGAUAACAAUCCAAGAAAAUAACUUUAGAAGAAAUAGAAAGUUUAAGUAAUGAUAAAAGAUUUAUAAGCAUGAAAAUUUCUUCUUAAUAAAUUAAUAGAUUUUUGUUAAAGAAAAGAAUAAAAUUAUAAUUUUGACUAGGAAGAAAAUUAAUUUAUUAAUUUCUAAGCAUGAAAAUUUCUUCUUAAUAAAUUAAAUAGGUCUAUUAUUACAAAAAUAAUUUAAUGAUGUGGCAUACCAAUUAGAAGAAAAAGAACUUAUGAGAUAUUUAGUUUUUUUUCUUGCGAAUAUAGUGAUUGUUCAGUCAUAUUAUUAUCUCUAAAAUAAAUAAAAGUAAUUUUUAUAGGCAACUCAAAAAAUAGUGAUUAUUUAGAAAAAUAAUCCUUAAAAUAUAUAUAUAUAUAUCAAAUUUUAGUAUCAAUAAAGUUUUUCAAGUAUAAUUAGUUUUUAAUAAACUAAUAUAUAUUUUUUUAAAAAAAGAAUAUAAUUGUAUUUUGCUUAAAUGAGUUUGGUGAGAUAAAUAGGUUUAGUAUUUUUUUAAAAAGAGAUUUUAAUGACAUAAUAUGCCAAUUAAGAGAGAAGAAGAUUUUUGAGGGAUUUAGUAUUUUUUGGGGAGAAAAAGAAUAGUUGAGUGAUGUUAUAAUCCUAAAUGAUACACAAGUGAUAAUAUUUGUUGAAAAUAUUCAAAACUUAGGUCACUAUUUAGGAAUUACUCGAGAAAUUAUUGUUGAUCAAUAGUUGUAUGACUAGCAAAGUGCCACCUUUGAACCAAAAAAGAGUGCCACCUCUUCCCAUCAUUAUUUAAGUAAUUGGACUAGGUUCACUAUUAAUGAAUAUAUCAUCUUAUAAAUAGAGGACUAGGAUAUACAACAUUCACAAAAUCAUAAUUGAAUCAAACAUAGCACAACACUUUUAUCUCAAUUGAGUACAUCUCGUUUCAUAGUCAUAAUAAUCACUAUGGCUGAGGAGGAGAAACACCACCACCACCUUUUCCACCACAAAGACAAGGGAGAAGAGGGCCCAGUCGACUACGAAAAGGAAAUCAAACACCAUAAGCAUCUUGAACAAAUUGGUAAACUUGGCACUGCUGCUGCCGGUGCCUACGCCUUGGUAUGUAAAUAUCAUUUUCUUCUAUUCCAAUUAUAGUCAUAUAUAUAACCCAUCAUAAAAGAUCUCAUUCCUCUAAAGUUUUUCUAUCGUGAACCUAUAAAGAUAGGUCACAAUCAUGUUAUGAUCUAAAAAACAAGAAUUGUACGUCAAUAAAACUAAAGUAUUUGCUUAUCAUCGCUUGAUGUCUGAAUUCACUUUACACCGGUUUUUGUGAUCUGUUUAAUUUGGAUUUGUGUUUGGAAAGUUACUUUGAUAGCUAAAUUGAGAAUUAAAGUCAUAAUAUUUACAUUUAGUAGCUGUUCAAGAUUAGCAUCAACUUUUACCGCUAACUAUAAAUGAUCUCACUGAGAGUAAAAUAAGAAGUUUAAGUAAAAUUAUUACAAAAUAUAAAACGUGUCAUUAUUUUUUCCGACGGACUAAAAACAGAGAAUAAUGUCACAUAAUUAACCGGAACAAAGAGACUAAUUAAUCUUUGAAAAUUGUCUGUACAUCAAUACUUAUUGAUCAUCUUUCACUAUCUUUUCUUGUCAUAUAGCAUGAGAAACAUGAUGCUAAGAAGGAUCCAGAGCAUGCACACAAACACAAGAUAGAGGAAGAGAUUGCAGCUGCUGCUGCUGUUGGUGCUGGAGGAUUUGCAUUGCAUGAGCACCAUGACAAGAAGGAUGCAAAGAAAGAGGAAAAAGAAGCUGAAGGGGGACACCACCACCACCACUUCUAAAUUCCUAUAUUUUAAUUAGAUUUUUAAUAUUUGUUGAAUUUCCUACUGUAAUGCUCUCUGUAGUAGAUGCAUGUGUGAUGUUUCCUAAAUAAUCAUGUGUGUGUUUUUCGACUUACGUACCUCGUAAUUUUCUGUUAGAACUACCUUGUAUAUUUGUGGUAUAAUAAAUGACAGUUUAUGUGCACUUGUUUAUUGUGUAACGAGUAUAAUGCAAAAACUUUUAAGGGAAAAAUAUGCGAAAAAUACCUGUACUUAGGUGAAAUUAGCAGUUACGCACCCUGAAUUUUACGGGAGUCCUAUGAACCCCCUAGACUAUUUUUUAUCGUAUUUAAUUAGCAUAUAUUUGUCUCUUAUCAAAUAUUUUUUUUCACGCGCUCAAGUGCUUGAAAUACACACAGUGGUUCAAGUGUCAAAUAUAUGUCAGUUAAUAUAUGUCAGUUAAAUACGGUAAAAAAUAGUUUACGGGGUCGUAGGAUACACUCAGAGUUUAGGAUGCGUAACUACAAAUUUCGCCAAAGUAUAAAUAUUUUUCACAUUUUUUCCAACUUUUAAAUAUAUGAAACUGUCAUACUAUCGAUAAAUUCUUGUUAAAAAUAAAUAUUUUUCGCAUUUUUUCCAACUUUUAAAUAUAUGAAACUGUCAUACUAUCGUUAAAUUCUUGUUGUACAUUGACCGCCUUAUUUUCCUGUUCAGGUGAUUAUUUUAAUUAUUAGUUUUUAAUUAAUUUCACUUAUUAUGACAUAUACUUGUAAUUAUUUCAUAAAUGAUUUAUUAGUGUAAUUUCGGUUUACUCAUCAAUAAAGAAGUUAAAUUGGGCCAACUUAGUUACGAAAAAACUAUCCUGAGAUUUCGAUGACGUGAAUAUGUUAUGAGGAUUAAAUAAUAAUGAAAUUAUGUAAUGAAUACACUUUUAACUAGGAUGCUUUGGUGGUGGUGGUGCUACCAAAAAAAGGGAUGCUUUAGUGGGGGAUAAUUAAGCUGGCCUUGUCUUUGUUAAAAUUAUUUGGGAUAAAAACUUUUGAGAAAAGCAAAUGUGUCAUUUUGUUGUUUUUAUCUGGAGAUUAGUAAUAUCAAAAAGACAUUUUCCAAAAAUAUUUAACCUAACCAAGUAUGAAAAUUUAAAAACACAUUUUCUAGAAAACAUUUUUCCUUUUUACCAAAUGACUCGCACUAAGUUCCGUCUUGUGCAAUUCUUUUUAUACUUGCGCGUGGCUCGUACGUAUAACGUUUGAUUAUUUAAAAUGAAAUAAUUCUAUUCAUUGUGAAAAUUUUGUAUAACGUUUUUCUAUUUAUUCUUAAUUUUUAAAUCUUCUUAAAAUCAAAUUUAGUUGAUUUAGAAUUCUUAAACUAAUGGAAAAAGAAUUAGUUGUCAUUAGCUUUGAUGACUUCUAAUAAAAAAAGGUUUUACCAUAAAUAUAUUUAAUUAAUUUUUAACUCUUAUAUAUUAGGAAAAAUAGUGAAAUGACGAUUUUAUUUAAAAUAAAAACUUUUAAUGGAGGGCAAAAAGUUCAAACACUAUUUCUAAGUCCGUUAACACUUUUAAUAUAUUAUAGAUAUAAAUAUAGAUUAUAGAAAAUGAAAUGAUUUUAUCCAUUGCGGAGAUUUUAUUUAACGUUUUUAUAUUUAUUAUUUAAUUUUUUAAAUCCUCUUAAAAUCAAAUUUAGUUGAUUUAGAAUUCUUAAACUAAUGAAAAAAGAAUUAAUUGUCAUUAAUUCUGAUGACUUCUAAUAAGGAAAAUGUUUUAUCGUAAAUAUAUUUAAUUAAUUUUUAACUCUUAUAUAAUAGGAAAAAAUAUUUAAAAGACGAUUUUAUCUAAAACAAAAAAUUUUAGUGAAGGGCAAAAAGUUCAAACAAUAUUUCUAAGGCCCUUCACACUUCUAAUAUGUUAUAAUAUAAUGUAAUAUGUUAUAGAUUAUAGAUUAUAGAUAUAGAUUAGAGAUUAGAGAUUAUUACCACAAAAAAAAAAAGAUUAGAGAUUAUAAAUUAUAGAUUAUCCCAAGUUAUUUAAUACAAAACUUGAACUGGUAAAAGAUAUAUUUUAAAUGAUACACGUAUUUUUACAAAAUAGAAAUCAAAACAAUAUAAAAAAGUAACAACUCUUAAUUUAAGUUAAAUAUUCUUGUAAAUUUAAUGCUAUUUUAGUUAUAUAUAAUUGUAAUCUAAUUUAAGGACAAAUAAUAAAUUAGUUAUCUUGUAAAAUCAGGUAUUAUUCAUGAAAAAUAAAUAUUAAAUUGAUAAAAUAGGUUUAUUCGUAUCUGAUAUUUAUACAAAAAUUGCUUAAAGUUUGAUUGAAUAUUCAUCUAUCACGUGUAUUAAGCAGCAUAAAAAAUAGCAAAUCUACAACAAACAAUAUAGUAAUCUCAAAAGAAAAAAGAAAAGCAAAAUCAAUAAGCAAAAGAACAAGAAAAUAAGAUUUAGUAUAAUGUUCGUCCAUAAAAUAUGAUGUAUAAAUGCAUAAGUAUCCAAGUAAAAAAAAAGCAUGAAUUAAAGUUAGUUUACCUCAAAAACAAAAACUAGAAAAGACAUCUCCUCAAGCCAAAACAGAAGUGAGAAUGCAAUGAUUAAUAUUAUAUUGAUGUUAUAAAUGGAGAAAAUAAUGGAAGAGUCAAAAACUUAAUAGGAGUCUUUUUCUAUUUAGGGAGAAGCAGCUUUAAAUUCGGCGUGAGAGACAGGCUCAUUCAGGGAAUCUUCCUGAACAUACGGAGGUGCGGGCUGAUUCCCAUUUCUCCUUUUGUUGUUCUUUAUUGGAGGCAUUUUUGUACACUAAAGGAUAGAUAAGUUAGGAAGAAAGUUUAAAUAGAGCUCAUACUCUAUCGCACGACAUGAAUACUGAACGAAGGAAAACUUUUCUUAAAAUACCUCGUAGCCUCUUGUCCAUAAGUAUGGCGCGUUUCACACCCAUGCAUAAGACUCUACUUGACACGUUCCUAGGACACUUUCAGACCUUAGGCUCUAUUACCAAGUUUAUAAUGCCCCAAGAUUACACCCUGGGUGCAACACAGUGCUUACAGUCCCGAGAGACCACAAGCUAACCCAUGAGCUAGUACCUUCUAUGAACACUGAACAAAACUGAUAACAAGAGUACAUGUGUGGAAUUUAACUUAAACACCAUAAGGUUUUAAAAACUAUAAUCAAUACUGAAUUGAGAAGUUAACAUUUGAAAACAUACUAAAAAGCUAACUAACUAUCUGUUCUAGUCUGAAAGCCUCUAACUGAAUAACCGAGGAGUUGAUGGGACAAGCCCCCAACUAACCCCGACUGUUUGCUAAAACUAAGAAAAACUGAAAUAACAUAACUGGUCCUCGAAACAUGAGGACUCACCACAGCUGGUGCUACUGGUGCGCUAGGAUAUCUAGGUACGAUUGGGAACCUAAGCAUCCGAACCUAUGAUAUGAAACAUUAUAACACAAGAAACGGGUUUGCCAUCAGUACUUUGUAUGUACUGGUAUGCUAAAUGAGGUAAAGCUGAGAUGUAUGGGUUUAUAUGCAUGAAUGAUAACCAACUGAAUAAAUAGCAUGGGAUAACUGAACAUGAAGUAAUAACUAGCUAAACGAUUUGAAGUAACUUAGUAAACAUGCAUGGAAUAGAGAUGGUCUAGUUGGCAUGAGGAUACUUAAUAUAAAUGCGUAAAAGCUGCAAAAUCUAAGAAUGCAUGAACAAGCAUAUAAUAUGUUUCAGAUAUAAUCUGUAACUGAAAUGCUAAAAUUUGAUAACUGAAUAACUGAUAAACUAUAUGCUAUGAUCAGGCAAACCUAAACUGAUUUCUGAACUGAAUACUAAAACUGAAACUAUGGGAGGUAUCAUUUAACCGACAUUCCCCACUCUGAGUUGAUUGGGGUCCAACCUGUAACCCCAGUUGGAAGGGCGCUAGUACCAUACCACGAGUACUAAUAAUGGUUGUGGAGUCAUUCCUAAUCUAGCGAGUGACCCCUAAGAUCAGUCCUAAGUUAGCGGGUGAUCCUUGAGAGUGUCAGUCCUAAAAUGGCGGGUGACAUCUCAUAACCUAGACUGGCUAUGUAGUUCUGGAACUUAGGGAUUUCUUCUAAGGAUUCAGUCCUAACUGGAGGGUGAGCCCCCAUCCCUAGGCUCACUCGGUGCUAAAUCCUACUCUUAUCUGAACUGACACUGAUUACUUGACUGAUCUAGGCUUAACUGUAGAGGGAAUUAACUUAGAUUACUAAACUGAUCUAAGUUUGACUGAUAUGAUAACGGACUAAACUGAUAAUGCUCAUACAUUUUUGAAACUAUUCUAAAACCACUGAGAUUAAGUAAACAACUAAAUUUUGGGUAUUCAUAACCCCCAGGACUCGAUAGCAAUAACAACAACAGGGACACAUGAAAGCUUUGAGACCAUGGAAGGAGAUCAUUGUUCACAAUUAUUCACUAAAGCAUUUCAUCAAAUACAUGGAGUUCAAGACUUUAACAUGAGGAUACUUCUAGACAUAAUGAGAUAGCACGAUCACAUGACAAAAUCAUAAAAAUGAGGAUUUAUUCCGAAUUCUCAUGAACAUGAUAUGGAACCCAUAAUAUUUAAAACAUACUAUAAUGCAUUCCACUUGAAAACAAAUUCCAAAAUCUUAACUUAUAAACAUGUAAUAAGUAGUCAUUGUUCAAAACCGAAUCAUUUAGGCAUUUUAUCAAACACUUGAUAUGCAAAGUGUAAGCUACGCAUAGGAAUAGUUUUAAGCUUGUAGUAAUAGCAUGAUUUCACUUCUAAGAUCACUAAUUUGGGUUUAAAUUCAAAAAACAACAUCAUUCAACCAUGUAAGGUUUAAUAUCACCAACAAUUUCAUGGAAACAUGAUAAAAAUUUGAAAUUGAUGUAAGUUCAUGGACAUAAUUCAUAAAAUAUGUAUUUAGGGUUGUUUUCAAUGAAAAAUAGAUUGUAAGCAUCAUGUAUAAUCAAAAUUCAUAAAAGCUUCAUGGAGAGAAAUCAUUAUAAACAUGUAAUUUCAUGAUUUUAAACAUAAAAGAUGGAUUCUUGGACUCCACGAGUGAAGACGGCCCAUGGAUGAACAUCUAACAUACCUUAGGGUUUUAAUCUUGUAAAAAAAUUGUAGUUCUUGAUCGUUCUUAGGUGAAGAAUAUUGAAUCCUUAAACUUUCUUGAGGAAUUAAUGGUUGAAGUUAGUGAAUUUGGGUGGUGGAUAGGGUUUCGUUUUUAAGAGGAAAUUGUGAAAAUAUUAAAUAUAAUGCCUUAACUAAUGAUUAAUCUCAUUUUUUUAUUGAAUGGGAUGAAAGGAAAAAGGACUUAAAUGUCCUUGGAAAAUUAAACUCAGAACUGAAAACUGAAAAAGUUCCCAGUUUUGCAUAAUGUCGCGACGCGAUACAAUUGCAUCAGGCCACUAGAGAAAGGACAACCCCCAUUUUGCCCAACGGCGCGACGCGGUGCUAUCGCAUUGCGCAACUGGAAAUGGACAACUGAGAAAUGGAACUUUGGCGCCAUCGCGGUGCCUCACUGAAAAAUGACAAUUGUGAAAAAUGCCCCUUGGCGUGACGCGGUGCUUAUAGCGUUGGGCUACUAUUUUGCACUAAAAGUGUCAUAACUUCUCACCCAAGUAUCGAAUUUGAGCGAAAUUGAUAUCAUUGGAAACCUAAUUCAAUUAUCUAUCUGAUAGGGGGGUCUUAAGCUCAGAAAUUCUUAUUAGAAUUAAAGUUAAGCUCACUUGAAGUUGACUAUAAUAGCAUUCUUCUCAAAAACUCAAUCGGUAAGGAAUAUUUUGAUUCGUCUAAUAGCUUGGAGUUAUUUGAGGUCUUAAUAUACAUCAAACUCACUCAUAAGACUACCAAAGAACCAUAAUCUAUUUUGCAUGAUCUUGAAGCAUAGUUCUAAUAUUGUUCUAGAUUCUCGAGGUAUUACAACCCCACACAGUCACACAUAUCACAUAAUAUCUCAAUUUCAACAAUUACAAUGCAUAUAGGCUCAUACACGGGCACAACACAUAGAUAGCCAUUUUUCCUGAUUAGUUUCUACCCUUAACAUGUAUUUUAUACCAUUAUUUACUACUCAGCCCAAUCUAAAAGAGUUAAGUCAUAACCUACUUCAAAAGUCAAAACACCGCAACCAAGACUUUACUUCUAAAGUCUUACUCCUCAUGAACGGUCCCUAACUUCAUUAAAAAUAUCCAAUAUAGAAUCUACGCAUCAAAACAAAAUCAACGACUCCCAUAUUGACUAUUUUUAGGAACCUAUAGCUAAAAACUCAAGUCUAAUCGAGUAAAAAAUGAGGUUUAAAUAGAAGAAAAAAUAUUUUUAAGCUUUUCCAGGUAAAAUCUUUGAAACUCAGGUUAAAAUCAAGAAUCGGAGUUGUUUUGAAGGUUAAAUUGAUGAAAAACUAGUAAUUAUAAGAUUAAAAUAUUAUUCAAAUAAAAAGAAGUGAAAUUGAAGUUUAAAAUCAAGCCCUAAGAUUUUUGGAUUUUUGAGAAUUUAAUCAAGAAUUACUAAGAAAAGGGUGAUUUAUUACCUUAAAUUCGUAAGAGAAUCAAGAAAUAGAUGUUAACCUUGCUUUCCAAGCAACCACAAGCUUCACUUUAAGACCUCACACUAAUUUUAGGGUUUAACUCUCAAGAGAAAGGUGAAAGAAUGAGCAAAAACCAGAUAAAAAGGGUUAUUUAUACUUUACUCAGGUACCAGGUAAAUAAGGCAUAAAUCGCACUUGGGUAAUUCAAUUCACCCUUUAAAUUUCCUUAUCGCACCAGCAUCCUGGUGCACCAAAUUUUUAAGUCCAAAUGGACUUCGACUGGGUGUUCUGGAUUCGUUCAGAGUCUGAUAUAUGCAAAUAAAUUAUGUAACCACACUAAAUCAAUGCUUCGGACUCAGUGACGAUAUCAGAUUUUAAAAAAAUAUUAUUUUCAUAAAGUUGACCCUAAAAUCCAAAAUUGUAAUUUUUCAAAUCGAGGGUCGAAAUGAGAUUUAUCGUAAAAUCACACCAAAUAUGUUACCACCCUAAAAUAGAUAUUUUUGAUCUACUGAAAAAGUCAGAUUUUCCAUCUAAGGUUGUUUCGACCAAAUGUGGGUCCUACACCUAUAUUUCUAAUUUUUAAACUUUUCAACCAAUAGAUCGAAAUGGUCUUGGGUGCAGCAAGACCCAAACCAAAGGUGUAGUAGCUUAAAAACGAUAUUUCAAAGAUGUUGGCACAGUCCAUUCAGCCAUCCGGUGCAUAUAUCAACAGAUAUCUAUAUAAGUUCAAAAUAUGUCUCUUGAAGCCAUCAAAAACCACAAUACCACAUAAAAGAUACUAAAAAUAGAUCGGAAAAUAUGCCAAUCGCCACCACACCCCAGAAAUAUCAUAAUAUAACUACAAAAAUGGGUAAAAUAGUCAAAUCAUACAAAAACACACAAUGCACAUAUUUCAUCAAAAAAGCUGGUCGUUAGACUGAGCCAACUUUGUCCGACAAUGCUUUUGAUCUUUGACCUUGGGUUUAUUAGGAGAUAAUACCACCUGUAGUUCCUAAUGUGGUUACAGCUGAGAAAAGUUAUAUACACUCUACAAGGACUUCCAAUCCUCCUGUAUGGUUGAAGGAUUAUAUGACUAAUGUCACCUAUCUUGAACAUCCAUAUUCCAUGUAUGAUUACCUUAAUUAUGAUACAUUUUUACACAAAUAUCAGCUUUAUCUGUGUAAUAUUUCUGAGAAGGUUGAACCUAGGAACUAAGAAGAAGAAAUAAAGGAUCCACGAUGGAUGACAGUUAUGCAACAGGAGAUCAAAGCCUUGAAGGAGAAUAAUACUUGACAGAUAGUUCAGUUACCUAAAAAGAAGCAUCCUAUUGGCUGCAAAUAGGUCUUUACGAUCAAAUAUAAAACAGAUGGCCAGAUAGACAGAUUCUAAGUAAGACUAAUUGCAAAAGGAUAUAGUCAAAUAGAGGGAGUUGAUUAUCAAUAAAUAUUUGCUCAGAUGGUUAAAAUAGUAAUAGUUAGUUCUAUUAUUGGUUUGGUUGUAGUUGAGAAUUAGAAUAUCUACCAAAUGGAUGUUUUCAAUGCAUUUCUACAAGGUGAUUUAUCUGAAGAGUUAUAUGUGGAGUUACCACAAGUCUUUACUAGAACAAGAAAGCACCGGGUUUGUAAGCUUACCAAGUCUUUGUAUGAACUCAAAAAAGUUUUCAGACAAUGGAAUGCUAAGCUGACUAAAGCUCUAGUCAGUUAGGUUAUGUCCAAAGUCAUUUUGACUAUUCUUUGUUUACUAAGAAAAGCAAUAAAGGGAUGGUUCUUGUAUUAGUAUAUAUUGAUGAUUUGUUAAUUACAGAAAGUGAUCCUGAUAUAAUCUAAGAUAUCAAAAAUGUGUUACAUAAUCACUUUAAGAUCAAAGAUGUAGAGAUGUUGAGACAUUUUUUGGGCAUAGAAUUUUGCAGAUCCAGCACUGGUAUUGUGAUGAUCAGAGAAAGUAUGCAUUAGAGCUUAUUUCUGAAGUAGGGUUAGCAUAUGCAAAACCUAUUCUUACACCAUUAGAAUGUAAUGUCAAGUUAACAUUUACAGCUUAUGAUACUUCUGCCAAUGACAUUUUAUUUCCUGAUGUUGGGAGGUAUCAAAGAAUGGUUACGAAGUUAUUAUACUUGACUAAUGCAAGGCCUAACAUAGCUUAUGUUGUCUAGACCUUGAGUCAAUAUAUGUAGCAGCCUAAGUUUUCUCAUUGAAAUGCAAUAUUAAGGGUCCUCAAAUACAAAAAAGUUAAUAAAGGAUUGGGACUAUUCACAAGUUCUAAUAAGCAGCCAUGUUUUUUAGUUAUUAUGAUGCAGACUGGGCUACUUGUCCAAGUACCAGAAGGUCAGUCACUGGUUAUUUACUAAAGUUUGGUGAUUCUUUGAUUUCCUGGAGAUCUAAGAAUUCAAACACUAUUUCUCAAAGCUCUGUAGAGGUUGAGUAUGGAGUCUAGAUACUUUAAUAGAUGAAGUUGUUUGGGUUACUGGCUUGUUUAAGGAGUUAGGGGUGGUUUUCCACACACCUAUUCUUAUACAUUAUGACAGUAAGGCUGCUAUCAGAUUACUACUAAUUCGGUCUUUUAUGAACGUACUAAACACAUUAAAAUAGAUUGUCAUUUUAUUUUUGAAAGAGUGCAACAAGGAUUGAUCAAAACUACUUAUAUCAACACUAAGGAACAACUAGCAGACUUGCUGACAAAGGCUAUUGGUCGUUCAUAACGUGACGUCUUGUUGUCCAAGCUUGGUGUCCUAAAUUUCUUUAGUACAUUCAACUUGAGGAGGAGUAUUAAAAUUAAUAGUUAGUUGUAUGUAGGCUAAUCAGUUAAUUAUGUAGUUAGAUUGUUAAUGAGUUAAAUAUGCCAACUGGCAAUUGACAGCUACAAAAGAUGCAGCUCCCACAUCACUUGUAUAUAUAGACUGUGAUAUUCUCUCAGCUAAGUAAUUUUUGCAAUAAUGCAAAAAUUUCAAAAUAUCAAUUCUUCUCUCUAGUUUUCUAUAGAAACCAAAGUAGUAAUUGGUAUAAGAAAGUUCUAAAAUUAAUUAAAAAUUUGAGAAUUUGUGUACAAAUUAUGAGAUCCAGACUAAACUACUGAAUAAAGAGAGUAAAGGAUAUUUUUUGGUUGAAAGAAAAACUUUUUAUUCCAACCAGUAAACAUUCUCAGUACAAAGUAGCUCAGAGUAUCAUCAGGCUACUAACUAAUUCUAUCCUUAAGCUAUUACAAAAAGCAUUGAUAUCUAAAAUUAAACUGGAUAGCUAUUCAAUUGUGCUAAUAUUUCCUACCAUUUACACUGUGAUUGGCCUUUAAUGUAUACUUGAAGGUAGAUAUUUUUUUAUCAACUGUAUUGUAGUUUUCUUCUCAGCAUUGGAUCUUCUUGCAUUUCUUUUAAUCCACACCCUGUAGACUGCAACAACAAAAAGGAAUAUCAGGAUUUACAAUCUUGGUUUGAAGGUAUGUAUGCAGUAGUAAGCCAUUUGAUUUUAUCUAACCAGGUGUUCACCCAUCUACUAAUGCCCAUCCAUUUUAGGAGAGUGAUCCAUAUAAACUUUAAGUAGGUGCACUCAAAAAAUAGAUAUUAGAAAGUCUCUAUUGCUCAUGUGUCACAUAUCACGCAAUAUGAAUCCAUAAUUGUACACUAUUUAGCAAGCCUUUCAAUAGUGGGAAGUCUCCCAUGUAAGGCUAGCCAUAGGAUGAAUUGGUACUUUAGCAUAGUACUAGGAGAUUAAACCAGGUUCCUCCAUGUAACUUUAGGUUGAUGAGAAAGCAUGGAGUAAUACAGUUUCUUAAUGCUAAAUUUUGGACCCUCUAUAAAUUGUCUCAAGUGUUGGAUAAGGUCAAUAUUUUGAAAUAUUUUCCUAGCAUAAAAAUUUUUCCUAACAAGCCAACAUGCCUGUUUAGGUUUACUUAUUAAAACUAGAUUUCUGCCCUUGAUAUAGAAAUUGUGGAUCCAUUGUACCCACAAGGAAUCCUUUUUGUUUUAGAAUACCCAUAUGAGCUUACAAAUUGCAGCUCCAUUCCACCUUUCAAACUUAAUUAUAUUCAAUCCAUCAGUAGAUUUUGGAAGACAUAUGGCUUCCCAAUCUACUUGUUCUUUCUUGGAGCUCUCAACACCUCAUGUCCAUAGGAACACCUUGCAUAUUUAAGUGACUAUAGAAAUGACUUUCUUUGGUAAUAAAAAGACUUGUGCCCAAAAAGUUUGCAUUUCAAAGAGUACACUUUUGAUUAACUGUAAUCUGUCACUAUAAGAUAGUAGUUUAGAGGUCCAGCAUUAAAUUGUUACUUGAAAGACAUUUUUCCUAGAGUAAAUUGCAUCUCUUUAAGAAUUAACUGAAAAAAAUUGUUACCCGGUAGACUGCAACAACAUGUAGGAAAAAAGAGAUACAAUUUACUCUAGGAAAAAUGCCUUUCAAGUAUUUGGGAGUGCCUCUCUCAUUCAGGAAAUUUGAGAGAGGCACUCCCAAAUACUUGAAAGACAUUUUUCCUAGAGUAAAUUGCAUCUCUUUAAGAAUUAACUGAAAAAAAUUGUUACCCCUGCCACAUAAAAUGAGCUUUUAUCAAGGUUGGCUUUUAGCCCUAAGAUAGAAGAGAAAUGUUCAAAAGCUUAUAAUAUCAAAUAGAUGGAUACUUGAUCUGCUCUACAACAUAGAAAUAAAUCAGCAGCAAAACAAAUAUCAGUUAGUUGUAACUUAGCACAACUUGGGUGGUAGUUGAAGUUAGGAUUAUGCCUCAACUAUUUUAAGGAUCUGUUGAGGUAUUUUAUCACCAACACAAAUAGAUAGGGAACAUAGGGUUCCCCUAUCUAAAAUCUUAUUUAGCAGCAAACUAAUCAGUUAAGCUUUCAUUAAUAAGUAUAAAGUAACUUAUAGUAGUUACACGGAUCAUUAUCCAGUCAAUCAUCUUAGAAGGAAAGCCAAACUCAAUAAGGAUCAUCUGUAGAAACCCCGACUCUACUGAAUCAUAAUAUUUUCUAAUAUUAAUUUUCAUAAAUAUAUUGGGGUUACAUGUUUUUUCCCAUAACCCCCAAUCAAUUCAUGUGCCACUACUAUAUUAUCUAAGAUAGUUCUUUCCUCAAUGAAUACAGAGUGUGAAGGACCUACCAAAAUAUCUACCAUAGGCUUCAAUUUAUAAGUGUGUAUUUUUACAAUUUUCUUGUAUAAAGUAGUACAACAGGCUAUAGUUUUAUAUUCCUUGACAAAGUUAGGACUCUAUAUUUUAGGGGAAAGAGCUAUAGUUGCACAGUUAAUACUCUUUAGUAGCUCCCAUUCUCAAAGAAUUGGAGAAUUGCUGCAGUAACCUUCUGACCAAUUACUGGCCAAUUUUUCUUAAAGAAUUCUAUAUAAAAGACAUCAAUACUUGGUGCCUUGUCAUAGGGAAGGUGUUGGAUUGUAUCAAAACUUCUUGCUCUAUCACCUCUUGUAACAAGUGUCUCAGUUGUGAAGUGUUCAAACAUGGUCCCUCCUUUGCAACUUCAUUAUUGAUGCAUGGUAAUUCAAUUACAACAAAACCUAAAAGUUGUUGAAGAAAAUUGGUAACUUCCUAUUGUAUUUAUGUUGGUUUUAUGACUCUUACUCCUUGAUCAGUACAGAUGGAUGCAAUCAUAUUCCUGUCUUGUCUGUUAUUUAAAUAGGCAUAGAAAAAUCUUGAGUUGGAAUAUUCAAGAGAUAUCCAAGUUGCCCUGGAUUUCUUUCUUAACACUUGCUCAUUGACCCAUUCCCACUUUUGAAUUUAAGUUAGCACUGAUUUUUCCUGCUAAAGCAAUUCUUUAUUAAAUAAAUUUAUAAUUAGGUUUGUUUGAACCUUUGGCAACUCAAUUCUCAGCUCUUGUAAUUUUUGAUCCAAAAAUGACAUUUAUUGAUUAAGUGUCUUAGUUUCUGUUCCAUCUCCUCAAUAACUUUUUCCACAGUGAAUACAUUGUGCAUCCUCUUAUAGCUUAACCCCAGGCAUGAUUAAUAAUUGUGUGGAACUGGUCUUGGUAUAGCAAAAUAUUUUGUAUUCUAAAUGUUCAUUUAGUAAUUUAGAGGAGAACUUCUGCAUUCACAAUAAUGAGGGAAUGAUCUGAGCAACCUGGUUGUCUGAACACUGCCUGUAAAGCUCCAAACUUAAUAAACCAAGCUGCAUUCCCUAAUAUUUAGUCUAUUCAACUAUAGAUUCUAGCAUUUUCCUCCCUCUUAUUGCACCGAAAAAAGUCACAUCCUCUUUUAGGUAAUUGGCCAAGACAUAGCUACAUAGUCGUUAAAGUCAUGUAUAUCAGCUGCUGAAUAGGGGCCCCACUAAUUCGAUCUCCCAUAGAAAGUCCAGUACUAAAAUCACCAAGUAUGACCCAUGGGUCAGUCAUAAUUUUGUGGAUAAUUCCCAGUUGUUCCCAGAUGUCCUUCCUAUUUAUAUUAGUGUUAUAACCAUAUAUAAAAGUCACAUAACUAGCAAAAUUGGACCCUUUGUCUUCAAUAUAGCAAGGGACCAGUUUUGGCCUAGCUAACAUGGUUGUUAACAUGUUGGUGUCUCCAGUAGAUCGACAAUCUUCCAGUCUGUUCCAAUGAAUAGUCAACUAUGCAAGUCCAAUCUAUGCAUAGUAACUUUAUAAGAGUAUCUCUUUUACUAUACUUUAGCUUAGUCUCCAAACAUCUCAGAAGGUCUAUUUCAUACUAAGAUAAAAAGUUUUAGCUCCUUUCGUUUAAACGGUUGAUUCAUCCCCCAUAUGUUCUAAGAACCAAACAUCAUGUUGGAACAUGUAAGGAUGCUUAGGACCCAGAACAAACCCCAAUAAACUAAGAGCAUAUGCAUUCUGUAAAUCUACUUCUUCUAUGUCAAAAUCUUAAUCCCUCUUUGUACUAGAGUCUGAUGGUUGUACCUCCUCAACCUUCUCUUUCCCCUUACUCUUCCUAGGAUUCUUUUUUUUUAGAAUUCCAGUAUAGCAGGCUUCGGGUCUUUAAUUUGGAUAGGUACAACAGUAUUCUAGUGAACACCCUUUGGAAUCUAUUGUGUAGGAGUCAUUUUCUUGUCCUGGGUAGGGGCUGAAGCUUUGGAAGGUUCAGGUGAAGUAGGAAUUAGUAUGUUUCAUGUCAGAACUAUGCAAUCUUAAUAAUACUCAGGCCACCAAUUAUAAUCCAACUCCUGCCUUUUGGUAUUAAUUUCCACCUGAUUCUUUAAUCAGCAUGUGCUCAGGUAAGGGUUAUGUCACAUCCAUUUCAAUAAGCAUUUUAGCAUAUAAAAUAUGCCCCUCUCCAGUAGUUAGACUAUCAGUAUGUACUGGUUUUCCCAAGUAGCUAGCAGUUCUAUUCAGGUUGUCUAAGGACCAGUAUUAGACAGGCAGACUGGGGAAUGUAACCCAUAAUGACAUUUGUUUCAAAGAUUCCUUGCUCAUCUGGAAGUUUGGUGACCAUGGUUUCAACACAACGGAUAUACUCAUAAGUAUAAGGGCCACUAUUUUGUACCUUUGCUCUAUCUUCUUCAUUCUCAAAUCAAAAAAUAAAAUAGUCAUCAUCGUGAAGAAAAAUAGUGGUAUGUCCACAAAGUUCCAGAUAACAUAUACAAAGUUCAACAUCUAUUUGAAGGAAGGGUUCUUCCCGACUAUAUAUCCUAUUAAAGCACAAUCCCAUUUUCUUCGUUGUUUUUCCACCUCUAUCAACUACUUUAACCCCAUUUUUCAACAAUGGUGGAAAGUAUUGAAGUUGCUUACCCGUCAUCGGUGUCUUGUUAUGCGUUAUCUCAUUUGGUUUGGAGUUUAUCGAGAAGGUGAGCUUCCUUAUUGCUUGUGUCAAGACCUACCCUACUUCAAUAUUAUCAGUUGGGGUUUUAUUGACUUGGGUAAGUAGGGGGUUUUGUGUAGAAGUCUUCGAACCACUGCCAUCUCCCUCCACCCAUUGGGAUAGCUAGACUAUAGAUAAUGGAUAAGGAACCCCCGUUUUUAGCGUAAUAAUUCGAGAACUCGUGUCCGAUAAAUUAUUGUAAAAAUCAUUUACGAGAAUUUUAAAAACAAAGUGCAUAGUCUUGAAUUGACGUGUCUAAAUGAUUCGGGCUCAAACAUCAAACUAACAUUUUUUUUAAAAUAUUUUCUUUCAUACCAAACACGGUAACACACCCUUAGUUCCAUCUUGUGCAUUUCUUUUUAUCACACAACAAAAUUCACUAUUUAUAAACAUAUAAAAUAUUGGUUAUUUAGAUGUUUACUGCACCAUUCAUUUAGAAUUACUUGUCAUUAUUCUUAUAAUUUAGUUUUCAUUUUUACUUGUCAUUUUUUACAAAUAGAGAAAAGACAAAAAAAAAAAAAAAAAACAUGUUCUACUCUUGCAUGAAUUACUUAUUCUAUACUAUAUCAAUUAUUAUUUUUUUAAUGAGUAUGUUAAAUCAAAAUGUGAUAAGUAAAUUCGAACCAAGUGAGUACUAAAAAUCAUAUAUUAUUGUAAAAUUAUUUAACCUGUUGGUACAAGAAACCUUUACAUUAUUCGCGCACAUAAGUCUGCCCUACGUACAUUGAUGACUAAGCGCCAUACAAAUUAAAUGCAUUUUUAUAUUAAAAAGAUUAAUAUAAUUUUUUUGAAAUUUGAAAUGCGGAAAGACAAGCACCAGGACCUGUUCAGUCAUAUAUAUUGCUAGUUUUAAAAUAAAAAGGUAAAAUUUAUUUGGCCAUAAAAUUUUUAUUUGGCCAUAAAAUUUGUCAAAUUUUAACAAAAAUCCCAAGAUCCCAAAAUCUAAAAAAGGCAUUUUGAGCCAAAAUCAAAUUUUGGAUUUUUUUUCAAAUUCUAAAACUUGCCCCAAAUUUUGUACUUUAUAUAUUAAAAAAUCAUCAAUUAUGACUCUGAUUAGCUAUUAAAUUUAUCUAUUCAACAUCUCACUAAACAGAUUCUUAUUAAAGAGAUUAUUCGUACACGUUGAAAGAUUAUAUUAAAGAAUAGCUAAUCACUAUUAUCGUUUUUAUAAUUAAUUUUUUCUCAUCAAUGAAUCUUUAUAACUAAUUUUGAUAGUUUGUAAUUAUAUUAUUACUAACUAGUAAAUUUGUUCGCGCUUCACGCGAUCAUAAAAUAUGAUAUAAAAAAAUAACUAAACAAUUUUUGUUACAAAUUUUCUAAUGAAAAUUUAUUUUACUAAAAAUAAGUAACAUAAAUGAUAGAAACAUUAUUUGUGAAGAAGCAAGAGAACUUUUUGGUAUUUAAAAAUUGAAUACUGCAUACGAUGAUGAAGAUGUGCGGGCACAAGUCAAGAAUGCACCCUCCAUAUUUUUUGCUUCUUAUACAUAAGUCCCUAAAUCCUUCUUACUAAAUUCUUUAGCAUCCUUGAUAGAGAUAGUUUGUGGAUCUUAUAACAACAACAACAUACAGUACAUUCCCAUAAAGUGGAUCUGAAAAAUAAAAAUGUUAGCAGUUCGUACAUUACCUCAAAAGUGAAGCUUAUUGAAGUCCAAGAUCUUUUAUUGUUUUUUUAAAAUGAUCAAGAUAUUCUAUCAAACAUGUGUGUGAAUUAUCAAAGUGUCAAUUUUAUAUAUCUAAAGAUGAUAAGGAAAUAACAAAAUCAAUUACGAAAUUAUUAAUUAUCUACUCCACUUGUAAUUGACUAUUUUUUGUUUAAUAAUAAAAGAUUCAUGAAUAUAUUUUUACAAACAAAAUGAGUUAAAAUCAACAGAAAUAAAGAUAAAUAUCAAUAUUGACGUAAAAGAGACGUUAUCUAAUUUUUUAUGAGACUAACUAGUACAUAUUUCAACCUACUUAGUGAGAUUAUAUUUAACGGCCUAUUAACAAAUAGAGCAAAAAAAUUGUGUCUUACAAAUAAUACUCAAUCAAAUUUUUUUAAAAAAUUUAGCACAAUUUUUUAUUGUUCUUUGUUUAGUUGCGUAUCAAAAUUAUUUUAAUCACAUGUAAUUAGUCCCUUGAUUUAAAAAGAUUAUUUUUAAUCUCCACUUUAUCAUAUGAAGUAGUAGUACUUUAAAGAAUAACUUUUAUUAGUAAAUAUGAUAACUUUCAAUAAUUAUUCUGAGCUUUUAGAGAACAAGUACCUGUUUGGAUUGACUUUUGGUUUUUGACUUAAGCCAUAAGUCAGAAGUUAGAAAUUCUAACUUAUAACUUUUGGCUUAUUUUUAGCAUUUUAAGUCAAAAGUCAUAAGUUGAGAUUUCUAACUUAUGACGUUUGACUUAUUUUUAGCAUUAGCUUAAAAUUAAGUGUUUAUAAGCACUUUUUAAAUUACUAAAACACUUCAAAAGUGCUUAAAAAUCAAUUUUGACUUAAAAACACUUAAAAUAAGUCAAUCCAAACAGACCCAAAUAUAUAAUUAAGGACAUCUAAGUUGAAUAAUUUUAGUUAUCAAUGCACAUGACAUUUAUUUUUAGAAGGGAAAAGGGUCAAAUAUGCCCCUAAACUUUUCGAAAAAGUUCAAAUAUACCCUCCGUUACAAAUUUAGUCUAAAUAUACCCCCGCUGUAAAAAUUUAGAAUCAAAUAUACCCCUACAAACGUCAACUGAUUUGCUGGAAUUUUGGAAUUCUUUUUUUCUUUCUUUUUAAUUUUUGAUCGUCACGUAAGCAAAAAAGUGUCACAUCAAUAAAAAUAAAUUAACCCAAUUCUUUUAUACCCUGACCCAACCCAAGAUCCGACCCAAGACUCCUUUAACUUCCCUAAUAUCAUAAUCUUCUACGGCAAUAAGUAGUUUACCCAUGGAUAUUAGUGAAUCAAUACACAAAGCAGAUUGGAUUUCUCCUAUUUGUUUUUUUUGGAGGAAAAAUUUAAACUAACAUAAACUUACAUAUUUGUAUUUCUCCUUUCUUUGAGAAAAAAUUUACACAUAUCCUAUAUCUCCAUAUAUGACUUUUUUAGUAUGAAAUGAGACAUCAUAUACAACUUAUCUGCAUACAAACUACACGGUGGCAGUAUUGGAGAGCUACUGAACACCACGAAGCAAAAAUUGACUUUUCAAAACCUAGUGACCAAAAAGCCCUUCGCCUUGGUGAGUAUCAAACUAAGUCCUGCACCAUGCCCUUGGUGGAAAAUUCACCAAAUCCCUUGCAGCUUCUUCUGACAAUUGUCCCAACUUUUUCAACUGGUCCUUGAAUUCUUCAUCAUAUGAACUCCAUGAACACCACCACAUAAGCUUCCUCAUUUCACCACUCCUCCACUUUUUACACUAAUUACUCUCAACAUGUCUCAUACAGUACCUAUGGUGAGCUACGGGUAACAUUUUCUCAAAAAUAUCCACCAAUCUCUGAAAUUAUAAAUAAAAAAAAUUAUUUAAUCAUGAGACAAGAAUAUUGAAACUAAAAUUUAAUUUAAAAAUGAGAAACUUACUUUUUGCAUAUCUGAAAUAAAUGUGGUUCCAGCACCAUCUUUAAGGUUCAAAAACCUUCUCAAUAGCUCCAUGAACCAGCUCCAUGUCCUACUGAUUUCUUUGUCCACUAUUACCCGUGCUAGUGGAUAGAAACUGUUCAUAGAAUCUUGUCCUAGAGCAACCAACAACAUACCCUUACAUCUACCUCUCAAGAAUGUACCAUCAACUCCAAUAAGUGGCCUCAAUCCAUAUUUCCAUCCUUUUUUCAGAGCAUCAAAGUAUAAGUACAUCCUUAAAAAUUAUCUUUUUCCUUCUGCGAAGGCAUCCUUGGAGAUAUUUAUCACAACAUCACUUUCAGGAUUAGACCUUUUAAUCUCUUGUGCAUAAUUCUUAAGCUUAUUGUACUCAUCUAUAAAACUACCUUCCAACUUCUCAAGAAUCAUGCGCUUAGCUCUUUUCAGUUUGGAUUGACACACAUUUAAUGUUAAACCAUUUUUAAGUUCUCCUCUCAUGUCUUUGACCUUAUACAUGGGGUUAUUUUAAAGCUUAUUUUUGAAGUAUUUGGCAAAAGUGGUUGAAUCAGCUCUAGGGUUAAAAAUGGCCUCUUCACAAGUAUGAUUGUUUAUUAAAGUAUUGAUCUUAAACCCUUCAGUCUUGCCAUCUUUUGAAAUCAAACACCUAAAAGGACACCCCUCUUUACAACCAUAUUUAGUCCUCUUUUUAUCACCCCUGAUUGUAGUUAAAGCCCUUUUGUUAGCUAAUGCAUAAUAGUUGACAGUCUGUCUAUCUUCUUUCAUGUCUUUAUAUGACAUACCUAUAUACAAUUCCUUGUAAUUUUUCAACCUAUCACUUACUAACCUUUCCCUUUCCUUGCUAAUAGCCUCCAACCCCUCAUAAUCAUAUUCCUCACCCCCAGAAAGAUCAAAAUCAACAAAAGAAUCAACACUAUGUUCACAGUUUGUGCCAACCUCAAUAUUUACAAAAUCAGUUUCAGCAUAGUGUGUGAUAUAUUGAGGAUAGACUAUUAGUUCCUCCUUCACCACUCUAUCGAUCAUCCUUCAAAGCACAUAAAAUAAAUAGUAAAUAUGCAACAAAAUUAUAGGGUCCACAUCAGAUCAAACACAUUACAAGUACAGAAAUAGAAUAAACAAAAUUUUAAAAGAAUAGAUUCAUAUCGGGACCACCAAAAGUUACAAAACUGAUUCUAUAAUGACAUAAAAAAGCACACCCUUUUUUCUUAAACAAUAAAUUUCAUGAGAUUUUGACAGACACAAUCGAAUCUCCUCACAUAUCUCAUUUAGUUGACUUUAUUAACUUUGCAGGAACUUUGAUGAUUGAUGAAAAAUGCACAAAAUAAUAAAGAAUACACCACUCUAGUGAUUCCCUCCCCUCCUCCCCUCCCCUCCAAAAAAAUGCAUAUCAUCCAAAGAAGAAGGAAGAAAAAGUCGAAGAUGAUGCAAAAUUACCUGAGGCUCUGCGAAGAGAAAAUUUACCAGCAAUAAGCAAUACGUUGUUUUGUGUACUUAGAUACGGUGAUAUGAUGUAAUGGGUUAAGGUAUUAGGGAGGUUAAAGGGGUCUUGGGUCAGAUCUUGGGUCGAGUCAGGGUAUAAAAGAAUUGGGUUAAUUUAUUUUUAUUGAUGUGGCACUUUUUUGCUUACAUGACAACCAAAUUUUUUUUUUAAAAAAAAGACUUUCAAAAUUCCAGCAAAUCAAUUGACGUUUGUAGGGGUAUAUUUGAUCCUAAAUUUUAACAGCGGGGUAUAUUUGGACCAAAUUUAUAACGGAGGGUAUAUUUAGAUAUUUUCAAAAAGUUUAGGGGCAUAUUUGAUCCUUUUUUCUUUUUAGAAUUCUAAAUGUAGUUAGACAUUUCAAGAAUCAACAUUAUUAGUGAUUUAAUGAUUAAAUAAUUACUAUAUCAAAUAGAGAAACACAAUAUAAAUAUCUUUUGAUUUGGCUCAACAUCAAUAUAAAGGCAAAAUAAAUUUGAUAUUUAAAUUAAAAAUCACAUUGAAUCUAAUAAGCCCUAUUUCCUUCAUUAUACAUGAUCUAUCAUCUUUGACUUUAAAUUUAAAUGUUUGGAUCAAAAUUUUAAUAAUUUUUUCAUGCAUUCCUGAAGUGAAGUACGUAUUACCUUUAUACUAACUUGCAUACCCAUUACUUACUAUAGAAGACAAAACUUUCAUUUUUUAGUAUGAUCUGAACUCAUCGUAAAGUGUGUCUUUUGAUCCCAACAUCCUAACUCUGUACAACAUUGCUUUGUCACCUGCUAAUCUUAAUGUCACGGCUUGCUUGUCAUACUCCCAAGGAAAUGUAAACACUGUAUUCUAUAAGUUCAACUGAAUCCAUUACUUUCUAUAUUCAAUUUAUAUGUACAUAUAAUAAGAUCACAUUCAUUAUGUACCUAGCUGACAACCUCAAUAGUGAUGUCAGUUGCACAAAAGUAAUCUGAUUCUACAACAUGUGGCUUUGAACACAUUAAUCGAUCUGCCUUAAUUUUCAACCGUUACAAUAUUAAUUCAAUAAAAAAGUUAAUUCAAUAUUAACAUUUGCAACAUUAAUGAACCAUUAUUGUUUUACGUUCUAUAGUUGUAACUGAUAUUUUUAUUCGCAACAGAUAUAAUUGUAAUAUAAGUGUUCAUUAGCUGAAUUAUUACAAGUCACAACGGUACAAUACUUUUUGUUUAAUUAAAUGUGUUAAGAUGGCGUAUUUUUUAAUUCAAAUAGUUAGGAGAUUAUCAUUAUAUUAUUAUUAUUUAGUAAAAUGAAGAAAAAUAUUCAAAAAAAAAAAGAAAAAAAAAGAAAUUUUAAGCGAUAAAGAUAUGCUACAUCACCUCAUUUAUAGAUGUUUAUAAGUAUUUAACUUUAAUUAGUUAAUACUUUCAUAAAUUUCAUCUUCUUUAAAAUCUAAAUCUAAAAAAUAUUUUAAAAAGAAAUCAAAAAAAAUAAAAAAGUAAACUCUUUUGCCACAAAUUUAUAAAAUCAAUUGGUAGGAAUCUUUCCUUCCUCUUUCUCUUUCUUUUACCUAAAAUAUAUGAUGAUAGAAAAUUCUUAUUAAGAUGAUUAUUAUUAUGAUCAUAAAAAAUUAUUAUUAAAAUGAAUUAAUAAAAAGAAGAGGAAAAGAUGAGGUGUAAUUAGGAGGAUUAACAAAGUAAUUUUUGAAAUUUGUAAUGAAGCACAAAAUAAAUAAAAUAAAAUUUGAGAAGACUAAAUUUUUUUUCUAAAAAAGUUGAAAAGCAGAAAAAAGUCAAAAAAUAUUAAUUUUUGAUCAAAGAACUAUAUACAUCAUCUUCUAAUAAACCAUAGUUAUAUCUAAAUAGAGAUUGCAUAUUUCAAAAUGCUUAUAUAAUAAAAUAUCAAUUAAAUUUUAUGUUAGCAACAAAAUAAUCAGUAUAAACAAAGUGAAAAACUUUAUAAUAAAAUCUUGUUAUUAAAUAAUACAUCUUGUAUUUGGUGAAAUAGUUAUUUGACAAGUCUAAAAUAAGCAACAAUAAGUGUAUCUAUAUUUAUUAAUAAACCAUUCAAAAAAUUUUAUUUUUCUAAACUAAUUUGGCCAUCUCUCUUGAUGCAUUAUAUAUUCUUCUACGUCUUGACGAUGAACUUAUACGAAACUAAUUUGAUCAUUCUUUCUUUGAUAAAUUUUAUACCGCCAUCAAACUUUCUUCUUCAUCUUUGGUGAACUUGUAUUUGGUUCUUAUUACACAAGAAAAAACUUUGAAUGAUAUAUCUAUGAUCUUCAUCAUAGUAGCCAUAUUAUCAAAUCUUUUCAAUAGCCUCUCUUUUGGUUAUUGAACACAUGAUUGAUGAAAAUAAUGAAAAAAAGAUUUGAAAGAGAGAGAAAAAUAUAUACUAAUAAAAAAAUGAAGGAGAAAUGGAAAUGAGCAUCCAACAAUUCUAUAGGUUAUUGUUAUUUAUAGACUGAUCAAGUAGUUGAGAAGACAUUUUAUUAAAUAGAGGAUACAAAUAGUUGGAAGUUUUCAUAUAACUCAUGAGAUAUAAUUAGAUGUAGUAAAUAUGAUAUGAUUUUUUAAUUAUUAAAAAAAUUAAUUAAUAAAAAAAAUGAAGAAAAAAAUUCAAUAAAAGAAAAAUAAUAUGAAUGGAGGUCAUAGAGAUGUGUCACAUCACCUUUUCUAUGAUUCUCCUUUAUAUAUAUAUUAGUUUAGAAUACGUUCGUCGAACGUGUAUUUAACGUUAAAAAAGAAAUAUUUAUUUAUCUAAUAUUUAAAUAUUUAUUUAUAAAAUUACCUGACAUUCUACAUAGUUCAAAUAAGAAAAUUAUAAUAAAUAUCUUUAUACAUGAUUUCAAAGUCCUAAAUUAGAACUUUUUACUCAUAGUUCAAAGAUAUUCUACCGGUGGGAUUGCAUAUUUAACGUUUUCUUAUUUUGCUCUGACAAUUUUAGAAUUAUUUUUUUCAUGUACACAACAAAAUAUUUUUUUUUUACCAAAAUUAACUCUUUGUUCCCAUAAAGUUUGUAAAAGUUGGGAAAAUGGGUUUUUUUUUUUUUUAAGAUUCAAUGUACUACUACUUACCUUGUAUUUUAAGACAAUCUUACUAUAUUUGUUAAAGUCCUAAUCUCAUAUAUUUUAGAAUUCAAUAUCAUAAAUAUAAUUAAAAAAUAAUUUGAGAAAAAAAUGUAAAAGACAAUUUUGUCUAAAGCAUGAACUUUUAAUGAAGGAAAAAAAGUUCAAAUCACUUUUCUAAGGGUCUUCACGUUUUUAAUAUAUUAUAGAUUAUAGAUAUAGAUAGAUUAUAGAUUAUAGAUAUAGAUAUAGAUAUAGAUGUAGAUGUAGAUGUAGAUGUAGAUGUAGAUGUAGAUGUAGAUUAUAGAUUAUAGAUUAUAGAUUAUAGAUUAUAGAUAUAGAUAUUGAUUUUAUUAAAAUAUUGUGUUAUGAUUUUCUAGACAAUAUAUUAUUUUGUGUUAAACUUAAAAAUAUAAAUUAUUUUUCAUGUUUUUUUUUAAAAUAAAAUAUAUUUUUGUAAAACUAUAAUGCUUAAACACAAAUUGAAACCUCAAUCAAAACUUCACGUCAAAUCUAAUUCCCAAAAAUAGUUGGUAAUAUAUGAUCAAACUCCACUAAAAUUGAGUUGAAUGGUAAUUACAUGACAUUUUCGUCUUGUAGUACGUAGGGCCAGUGUUUGUUUUUCUCUUGUGUUUGUCUUUCUCCGUUGCCACAUGUGCUCUCUUAUAUAGCCUUAAUGGCUAAGCAAUCCCAUAUUUUGGCACAAUUUUCACCAUCCAACUAUAAAGGUCCUCCGACUGGAAAAGGAAAAAAAAUGAUGGUGAUCGGUAGUUGAGGAAGAAAAUUAUUUUUUUAAAAUAAAUUUAUAUGCAUAAUUGAUUAUCACAAAUUGUUGAUGGUUUUAUGAUGAAAUAAAUUAAUAUACUUGUGAUAAAUUCAGGCAAUUUUAUUCGUUCAUUUAAAAAAUUCCCAAUGCUGAAAUUUGUAACGAAAUCAUGGAAAUGCUUUAUUGCAUGAUACGAACCUCAAUUCAUAAGAGGGCUAUGGUAGGGUAGCAAGUAGUCAUGUCAACUAGGUUUGGUCGGCCAAUUGUGAGAAAAACUAUCUUUAACCCUUUAAUUUACAUUUUCUCCAAGUUAUUACGGAAUUUUAAUCUUUAUAUUUUAAUGCAAAACUACAGAUUUCAAAAUUAAAAUGAUUUUAGUUGAUUUAUGCUGAUAUUAAUUUUAGUAAUGUUACUACUUAUAUUUUCUUAAUGGGUCGAGGCUGAGCCGGUUUCUCCUCCCCAACCCAACCCACUAAAGUAUGACUCGGCCCCUGCCCAAUCCCAUUGACACCUUUUUUUUUGGGUAGACCAUUGACACCUUAGUAGCAAGUAUCUUUCAAUUUCUUAAUCUAAGAUUUUGUGUUGAGUCUUUUAUAACAGUAUAAUUUUAAAUAUUUUAGUUACCUUUUCAAAGUGGAAUUAUUUUUCUUCAUAAAUUCAAAUUAAUCGAAUCCAAAAGUAAAUACUAAGUACCAAGUGGGAAAAUUAAAAAGUAAUUUAUAGGUGAUUAAGCAACUAAAUGUUGUUGAGUCUUGUGGUCUUUAAUUAGUUCAACAACAUAGGAUUUAAAAUGUUAUAAAACAAUAAAGAACAAGAAAAAGAGUAGAGAGAAUAGAGAGAGUGAUUCUUAUUUCUUCUCUUGAGGGAUGAUUUACAAUGAAGGAAGCUCUUCUAUUUAUAGGGGAAAUUUGCCCCUAGUUUCACACUAAAAGACAAAUACAUCAAAUCCUGAUAGAUAUCAAGUAGAUCUUAUUAGAUCUUGAUAGACUUCACUAUAAUGUAAAUACAUUUAUAACACUCCCCCUUGAAUAUCUAGAUAGAUAACGUGCCUCGUUAAAACCUUACUAGAAAAAACUCAGUAGGAAAAAAAAUCUAGUGAAGGAAAAAGAGUACACAUUUCUAACAAUAUGCAUAUCGACCGCCUCAUUCAAAACCUUACAAGAAAAACCCAGUGGGACAAAACCUCGUAAGGAAAAAAGAGUACAAUGCGUAUUAACUCUCCCUAAUGAGAACAUCCUUGAACCUUUGCAUCCCGAUCUUGUGCACCAUCUUCUUAAAAGUUGUAAUUGGAGAAGACUUGGUGAAUAAAUCAGCCANNNNNNNNNNNNNNNNNNNNNNNNNNNNNNNNNNNNNNNNNNNNNNNNNNNNNNNNNNNNNNNNNNNNNNNNNNNNNNNNNNNNNNNNNNNNNNNNNNNNNNNNNNNNNNNNNNNAUUAAGACGUGCUAUGCAUGAUGCAUUAUCUCCGUAUAAAAUUGUGGGUAGAUUGUCAUAUUUCACAUCACAUUUUUCUCAAAUGAGAUGUAUCAUGGACCUCAACCAUACACAUUCUCGACUUGUUUCAUUAAUUACUAUUAUCUCAAAAUGAUUCGAUGAAGUGGCUACGAUAGACUGCUUUGUAUAUCUCUAAGAUAUUGUAGUACCACCACAUAUGAACACAUAGCCUAUUUGAGACCGAGCUUUAUGUAGGUUAGAUAAGUACCCAAAAUCAGCAUGACCAAUAAGAUCAGGACUGCAAACUUGCUAACAAAUUAACUAAAAAAUAGGCUAUAUCAGGCCUUGUAGUAUUUGCAAGAUACAUUAGUGCAUCAAUUGCACUAAGAUAUGGUACUUCAUAACCAAGGAGUUCCUCAUUCUUUUCUUGAGGUCAGAAUGGAUCCUUAUUCAAUUUUUGCAUGUUUCUCAUUUAAGCAAAUACUCUAUUUCUUUUGAAAACUCUCCAAGAGUUUCAAUGAUACUCAAAUCAUCAAAUUAUAUCUUAUGAAGAUAAUAAAAAGUUUUCCAGAAACUUUAUAUGCUUCAGGAAUUUUGAAUCCUUUAGGGAUUUUCAUAUGGAUAUUUGUCAAGUAACAAUAUCCAACAUGUCAAGUGUGACAUCUUCAAGUGUCUGGACUGCAAAUCAAAUAAGUUUUACGCUUACCAAAAUGCAUCAUUUCAGGUCACUUGAUAAAUAUUUCUACGUCAGCAUGCUUAAAUUAACGUAGAAUUUAGAUCCUCAUAUUCUUUUACAAUAUUGCGCCAAUGUUGUAUCAAAGAUAUCAUCGAUGAUUUCUUAUUUUUAUCGGUUCACAAUGCGAUAUAACAUUUUGAGAUCUCAUCACUUCAUUAUUUUCAGGUACCUAAACCUCUGAUAAGGUUUCAUGAAGUGUUAUGCCGUAGGCUCUUCAAGAGCACAUUGCCUUCUUAUCAUGAUUAUUUGCUCCUUAUCUUUUUCAAGGAUUAUUUCAUUUGGAACCGAUUGGUCGAUCAUGCUUCACGCAUGCAUAGACUUUAUCCUUUAAGGACACAAAAUNNNNNNNNNNNNNNNNNNNNNNNNNNNNNNNNNNNNNNNNNNNNNNNNNNNNNNNNNNNNNNNNNNNNNNNNNCUAACAUAUUUCAUAGCUGCUUAUAAUCUCCCCCUUAUGUUAGGAAAACUAACAUACAUCCUCCAUCUUCUUUGAGAAAUCCAUCUUUAUGCAUCAUAGUAUAUUUAUUAAUCGUAUACCACACAUCAAAAAUAUUAAAUGGAAUAGUUGGUUCCUGACCUUGAACCAAUUGAGAGGAAAGAAAUAAUCAUAAUAUAUUGGUCUAAUGCAUAUAAGUGCUAUUGUAUGCAAUAUAUCAUAUUUCAUACCAAUACAUAAAACUUUGUUCUUAUUAGUAAUGGUUCAACUAUUUAUGGAAGACAUUCAAUGUUAAACCAUCAUCAUCAAGAUGAAUUAUCUUGAUUACACAAUCUAAAAAUUAUGCUCAAUUUAUAUUGAAAAAGUAACUUCAUGAAUAUCAAACGUUGGUUGACCAUGAAUGUACAUGUGAUUAUCUUAUUGAUGCAUCUUUCCAACAUAUCACAUGAUAGGUGAAUAGACCCUUAUUCACCUUUUAUUCUUUUCAGAUUUUGAGGGAUCCAAUCCCAAAAUUAGUUGGUCCAACCAACUUAUCAUGAGAACAAACAAUAUUAAAGUUCAUGAAGAAUUUUUUAAUUCUUCAAUAUAUGUUCAAUACUCAGUAUGCACAUCUUUGGGAUAUCGCAAUCGUUCAUGUCAACUAAUGAACUUAUAAUCUAUUAAACUCCAAGUUUAUCGUGAUAUGUGUUUUUGCUUUAGUAAAUUUCAGAUUUACUACUUCAGAAGUAGAUUUUAAAAUUAUUCAACCUCUUUCGGAGGUAAGUUGUGAUACAAUCACAAUCAAGUGCACGUUUGCAUUAAUAAGUUUCUCAUUCCACAGGAAUGUAAUAUAAUCGUGCCUUAAGCCUAUCAAAUUAUGAUAGCUUAUAACCUCUUUCAAGAAUUUUGCUACUUCAGAAGCAAAUUGAGACAUACAUAUGAUGUAGAGAAUUUUUCUCUAGCAUAUCUUAUAAUCAUAUAAGCGUGUGAAAAUAUCAUCACUUUUGAUGAUCAUUAUCAUAUUGUCCCUCCACGCGUAUAUUCGUGCAUUCAAUCACUUGUCUUUUUUUAGACAUAUUAUGCACUGCUACUACAUACACCACUGCUACCACAUACACCUCAAGAAUGAAGUAAGUUGUCAUAUUUCAGACUUAUCAUAUAUUGCUACCACAUUCACUUCAUGGAAUAGAGCAUAUUCAAUGGGUCAAAUUUCAUGACUUUUUACCCAAUACCUAUGAUUUUGCCUUAGCCAUCAUAAUAUCAUCAGUAUGGUGCAUUGAUAUUCAAACUCAAUGUCUUAUCCAUAUAAAGACGUCUUAGGCAUAAAUCGAUAGGUGCUAACUUUUAGCCUCAAAUAGUACUGACUGAAUUCAAACUUUUAAAUUUCAAUCAACAGAUACUUUUGGACUAUAUCAUGAUAAAAUAUAUAUAUAAUAAAAUAAAAUAGACACAAAGAAUCACCGAAUAUAAUAAUCGUAUGAAAACAUAUAUAACUAUGACCAUUAAUAAUUGACCAAUUCUCUAUAUAAAGCAACUGAAAUUUUAUUUUAUUAUAUAAUGAUUAGCUUGGCAGGUGACUGUAAAACUCUUAGUUUUUUUUUACUUCCAAAGGAAAUGAAACUUUUAUGAACAAAAUAAACUUAUGUUAUCAUUGCUGAAGAUAAAUGAAUACACCCAUCAAAAGUACGUAAUGUUUCUGACAAUAUUAAAAUCAAGUUAACUAUCAACAAGUAGUAAAAUCGUUAAUGAUUUUCCUCCCCUAAACAUAAUAUAUAAUACCAAAUCAAUAUUUAACAAAAUAAGAUCACAAUUCACAUCCUCGUAUCCAUGGAAAGAUGCAACAUAUUACCUUUUAAUAGUAUUAUAUGUAUGCUUAUCUUCAAAGAGUAUUUUGACUCACGGUAGAGUCUCGUGCUGAUAACGUGUUAUAAAACAAUAAAGAACAAGAAGAAGAGUAGAGGUAAUAGAGAGAAUAGAGAGAGUGAUUCUUAUUUCUUCUCUUGAGGGAUGAUUUACAAUGAAGGAAGCUCUUCUAUUUAUAGGAAAAAUUUGCCCCUAGUUUCACACUAAAAGACAAAUACAUCAAAUCCUGAUAGAUAUCAACUAGAUUUUAUUAGAUCUUGAUAGACAUUCACUAUAAUGUAAAUACAUUUAUAACAUAAAACUUUUUUGUGAUAAAAUAUAAAGUAGAGAAGAACAAAAACAGAGAGAAGAGAGUAAUUUUUUAUUGCUCUUAAGUAUUCUCAAGGUGUCUGUUACAAUGAAGGAAACCUUCUAUUUAUAAGGAAAAUUACUUAUAAUUUCUCUCUAAAAGAUAGAUAUUUCAUACCUAGUUAUCAAAUAGAUCUUGAUAGAUAUUAUCUAUAUUCUUGAUAUUCACUAUAAUGUAAAUACAUUUAUAAUACUUUUCCUUGAAUGUCUAAUUGAUACAUAAUGUGCCUCGUUAAAACUUUACUAGAAAAACUCAGUGAAAAAUAUCUAGUAAAGAAAAAAGAGUAUACAUCUCUAAUAAUACGAAUUUUGGCCGCCUCAUUAAAAACCUUACAUGGACAAUCCAGUGGGACAAAACCUCAUAAGGGAAAAGAAUACAGCGCGUAUUUGCUCCCCUUGAUGAGAACAUCAAUGAACCUUUGCAUCCCGAUCUUGUGCAUUAUCUUCAUGAAAGUUGCAAUUGGAAGAUAUUUGGUGAAUAAAUCAGCCACAUUGUCACUUGAAUGGAUCUGUUGCACAUUAAUAUCACCAUUCUUUUGCAGCUCGUAUAUAGAAAAAGCUUUGAUAAAGUGUGCUUCGUUCUAUCACGUUUUAUGAAUCCUUCCUUAAGUUGUGCUAUGUAUUCUUCAUUAUCUUCGUAUAAAAUUAUGGGCAUAUUUUCAUAUUUCAAACCACAUUUUUCUCGAAUGAGAUGUAUCAUGGACUUCAACUAUACACAUUCUUGGUUUGCUUCAUGAAUAACUAUUAUCUCAACAUGGUUUGAUGAGGUGGCUAGAUAGACUGCUUUAUAUAUCUCCAAUAUAUGACAAUACCCCACCAUAUAAACACAUAACCUAUUUGAGAUCAAACUUUAUGUGGGUCAGAAAAAUACCCAACAUCAGCAUAAACAAUAAGAUUGGACUGCAAAAAUAAGAUUAUGUAUUUGUUUACAUUUUGAUGUCUCCUAAUAGGAGCAUAACUAUACAUUGCUAACAAAUUAAUCGAAAAGGCUAUAUCAGGCCUUGUAGUAUUUGCAAGAUACAUUAGUGCAUCAACAUCACUAGGAUAUGGUACUUUAAGAUCAAUCCAAUUCGGUAUAUUUCUCAUUUCAACAAAUAAUCUAUUGCUUUUGAAAACCCUUCAAGAGUUUCAAUAAUUUUUAAAUAUUUAAUUUAUCCCUUAAAAGGAUAAUAAACAAGUUUCCCAGAAACUUUAUAUGCUUCAAACAUUUUAAAUCCUUUAGGGAUUUUCAUAUAGAUUUUUGUCAAGUGACAAUAUCCAAUAAUUCGUGUGUGACAUCUUCUAGUGUCUGGACUGCAAAUCAAAUAAGUGUUAUGCUUAUCAAGAUGCAUAAUUUUAUGUCACUUGAUAAAUGUUUCUACGUCAGUAUACUUAAAUAAACGUAAAAUUCAGAUUCUCGUAAUCUUUUACAAUAUUGCACUAAUAUUGUAUCAAAGGUAUUGGUGAUAUAUCAUUUCGUAUCGAUUCACAGUGUGACAUAACAUUUUGAGAUCUCAUCACUUCAUUAUUUUCAGGUACCUGAACCUCUUCUAAGGUUUCAUGAAGUGUUAUGUCAUAGGCUCUUCAAGUGCACAUUGCCUUCUUAUUAUGAUCAUUUGCUUCUUAUCCUUUUAAGGAUUAUUUUAUUUGGAAUCGAUUGGUCUACCGUGUUUCAUGCAUGCGCAUACUUUAUCCUUUAGGGAUACAAAAUAGGAGCAUUUACAACUUAAAUAUGAGACGCUUUCGGCAUUUGACUUGAACUAUUUUUUGAAUGAGGAUCUGAUGAUAAUUCUUAAAAUAUUUCAUAGCUGCUUAUAAUCUCCCCCUUAUGUUAGGAAAAGUAACAUACAUCCUCCAUCUUUUUUGAGAAAUCCAUCUUUGUACAUUAUGGUAUAUUCAUUAAUCGUAUACUGCACAUCAAUACUAUUAGAUGGACACUAUGUGGUUCCUGACUUAGAACCAACUUUGAGGGAGAAUUGAUCACAAUUUAAUGACUUGAUGCAUACAAAUACUUUUGCAUAUAUCAUAUUUCAAAUCAACACAUGAAGCUUUGGUCUCAUUAGUGUUGGUUUGAAUUGCAUAUAUUAUAAUUCAAUGUCAAACCAUCAUCAUCAAGAUGAAUUGUCUUGAUUAUAAAAUCUAAAAAAUAUGCUCUUAACUCAAUUUUAUUGAGCAACAAAUGUCAAACUGGAGAUUGACAAUAAAUGAACAUGUGAUUAUCUUAUAUCGAUAAAUCUUAAUAGAUUACAUGACAAGUGAACAAGACCAUAUUCAUCUGUUAUACUUUUCAGAUUUUGAGGGAUCAAAUCCCAACAUUAGUUGGUCCAACCAACUUAUCAUGAGAACAAGCAAUAUAAACAAUUCUUGAAGAAUCUUCUAUUUCUUCAACAUAUGUCUAAUACUCAAUAUGCACAUCUUUGGAAUGUCAUAUAUAAUCGUUCAUGUCAACUUAUUAACUUAUAUGUAUCAGUAAACUCCAAGCUUACCAUGACAUGCACCUUUUACUUUAGUAAACUUCUUAUUUACUGUGACAUAAAUUUUGUAUCAAUAAACAAUAAACUCUUAGUUAUUGUGACAUGUGAUUUCAUCAUGCCUGGAUAAAUUUUCACAUCUGUGGUUCUUACUGUAGUAACUUGGAGAUAUUUAAUCUUCCAACUAUUCUACCUCUUCUGGAGGUGGAUUGUGUUAUCUUCACAACUAAGAAUGCAUUCGAAUUAUAUAAAGUCAUAUUCACCCUCAGGGUAUAAAUUUGUAUUUAUAAUAAUCAAAAUUCUCAUUCCUUGGGAAUAGAAUAUAAUCGUGUCUUAAGGGUAUCAAAUUAUGAUAGCUUAGAAACUCUUUCACGAUCGAGACAUGAAAGCCUGUGAAAUAUUAUUAUUUUGUCACUUUUCUCCAUUUAUGUGCAUUCAUUGAACCACUUAUCUUCUUUCAGACAUGUUAUGUACUGCUACCACAUUCACCUCAAGAAUGGAGCAUAUUCAAUAGGACAUGUUUCAUGACUUUUCAUGAAACAAACAUUAUUUUACCUUAACCAUCAUAAUAUAAUCAAUAUAGUGCAUUGAGAUUCAAACUCAAUGUCUUAUCCAUAAUAUAGUCCAAUGCUAUUGUAUUUCAUUUUUACGCGAUGACAGUAGAUAUUAUUUUUUUAAAAAAAUUAUCAUGUGAUAACUGUAAAUACUAAAGGUUCUAGGUCAAUAUUGGUAAUAGAACAUUAUUGUACUGGAGAAUAUUGAUUGAAAUUUAUUUUCAAACUAUAAGAAAAUUAUAGAAAAGCAUACCUGAUUUUGCACCAAUAUUUUUUAUUGUAGUAGCCCUUUUUUUCUCGUAAUAAGAUUAAGUAAAACAUGAGCUGACGAAACACUAAAGCUUAAUAUUAGUUGGUUAGAGUUGUUGAGAUUUACCUUCCUUCUAUUUUGUAAUUUUCAUUAAUGGUAGAAUAUUUUUAUUUUUCCUUUUUUAGUCUAAGAAUAUUUUACAUUAUUUAUUUCCUUUUAAGUCUAGGGUUUAUUAAUUACAGAAUAUUUAGUCUUAUAGCUAUAAGAAAAAUAUCAUAUUUUCCUUAUUUAUUUUAUUUAGUUUCUUAUAAAUAGAGAUAUGCUCGACUAUUUGAAUCGAGGAAAAGAAUCAAUCAAGAGUUUUCAUUCAAUUUCUGUUUAAUUUUCUUUCCUGUCUCUUUCAUUCCAUAAUCCUCAUGGAUCUGUCAAUUUAUUGAAGCAAAACUAUCAAUUAUUUUUUAAUUCAUAGCUAUUUUCAACCUACUCUUAAUCCUUAUAUUUAUUUUUAACGUAGGGCUAUUUUUAACUCUUAUUUUAUUUUUAACAUAGGACUAUUUUUAAUUAUUUUUAAACUCAUAUUAUUUUAAAUCUUAUUUUUCAAACCAUGACAAGCAAAACUCUCUCUUUCAAUGCCCCCACAAACCUUUAUUGAUGAAAAUUAUCAAAUUUGGACAGUUAAGAUGAAAUCUUAUCUUGAAGCUUAUGAUUUGUGGGAAGUUGUAAAGGCAGAUAAACCUAUACAAUCACUCCCUGCAAAUUCUUUGAUACAAGAAUAAUCACGGAUAUGGUGCACGUUGGUCCCGAGACUUGGUGUGUGUAAUUAAAGUGUAGAAGAGGCCCAAAAUACAAUAAAAUCAGCCCAUAACUUACACUUGAUGGGCAAUCCACUCUUUGAAUGCCCUUUUGGUCAUUUUAACUUAUAUCUUGUAAUAGCUAUAUAAAGAAAAAUGUAGGGUUUUAUUUACUUAGUUUAUGAAUGAAGUUGUAAGUCUUACAAGACAAAGAAACACAAUUCCUCUUUCCUUGAGGCACCCAAAACCGAAAUUAGGGCUUAGACAAGUGUAGAAUCACUUGUGUUUGCAUUUGCUUGGAAACAUUAAUGCUUGGGAGGUGGAUUUCGAUCUUGUGUCUUUGUAAGAGAUAUGUUUAUUGUUUUGUGUAGUGUUAAGGGUCCAAGAGUUACCAUUCUUGGGUUCUUAACAUUAUACCUUCAUUUGGUCUAUCUAUCUAUCCUUUUUCUUUUGUAAUCUUGUAUCCGUUUUGUAUCUUGUAUUGUGAAGCCAUUUUUGUUGUUGUUGUUGUUGUUGUUGUUGUUCUCAUUGUUGUUUCAUCUUGUGUUUUUAACUUAGUUUAUUGUUGGCUGCAAAAGGUGUCAAACACCUAGUUAUAUUGUCCUUCUUGUAUUUCAUUCUUGAAUCCGAGAGUGGUCUUCAAAAGGGUCCUCGAUUCUUUAAAUUAGUGGACUGUUUUUGGAGUGUGUUUGGACUGUUUUGAGCCAAUUUCGUGUGUUCCUUGGUUUUCUUGUAUCAUUUGGUAUCAAAUACAUCUUUGAUUUUGUUUUUACAAUACUAAUCUUGGGCUUUCUUGCUAAGAAAAUAAAAAAAAGGAAAGAAAGAAAGACGUGUUCUUGAGCUUGAGAUCUUGGCCGAGAAGUUGAACUUCUUGUUGUUGUAUCUUGGCCAAAUGUUGUGUGUCUAAGACUAGGAUAUAUUUUUCUUUUGUUGUUGUUUCAAGUGUUAGUAUUCUUGUCCAUUAUCUAGAUUUGAGCUUUAAAAAAAUUGAUGUUGUUGUUGUAAACAAGACCAUGGCCGUGUGUUGAAGUUGUUGUUCUUGGACUUGUGGAAUUGUUGUUAUAGUCUUGGUUGGACGUUGUUGGUGUUGUUGUUGCUCUUAAUAAAGUUGUUGAGUUCUUGAAAUUCAUCACAAUCUUCACCCUUGCUAAAACCAAAAUACAACACCAAAAAGAACCUUGGCCGUAUGUUGACAAUAAUGUGUGUUGAUGUUUGCCGUGGGGUGGAAAUUAUUUUUGUUUUUUUGAUGUGUUCUUGAAGGUUGUUGUGGUGUUCGUCUUAUUCUUCAUCUCAUCUUACAACUUAAGACAACCAAAAGUGUAAUAGAGAUUCAAAAAGGUGAACCUACAAGUUGUAAAGUUGUUUGUGAGAAGACUUGAGCCAUCACUUUCUUGACUUGACAUCUACUUUUCAACCACUUUCUUUGUUUCAGGGACCUUAUUUUGUGGGAAUUGUACAAAGUCAAGUCUUGCCUUUUGAAGAUUCGACUUAAAGGAGAUUUAAGACAUAUACUUUUCCUCUAAAACCAACUGUUUCCAUUACAUAGUAACUAAAGUUUGUAAACUUCAAUUAGUGACUAAUUGUGGGGCCGUGACCAAUUGUAUGCUGCCACGUGACCCAAGUUACUGUUCACACGAAAAUUUUAAGCUUAAAAUUUGAUCUUCUAUUUCAUUGUGUUGUUUUUUUAGUUUCGUUUGUUAAUUCCAUUACUAACUUACAAACUAGUACUAGAAUGUAAGUUAGUUUUGAAACCGUCCUUCAUGUAUAUGUUCCUUUGUGUGUCUUAUUCUUUUGAGUCAUUGUAAUACUUGGUCCACCUCUAGAUUCCUCACAGAGUACAAGCAAGGUUACAACACUUGUGAGAUAAAAUUGUGAAAAAUCUGAGAGACAAAACAAUAGAGAGGAAGUGUGAGGACCAUUCUUGUACAACUAACUUAUUUGUUGUUUUGUAGGUAACUUCUUGGCAAUAAUGAAAACCAUUUUGGCCCUCCUAUAUGCUUUGUCCCGAGAUCUUGCUAAGGCAAAUGAGGGUUUUGAAAAAAUUAACUUGGAUGUGGUAACUGUGAGCGAGAGGUUAGAUCAAAUGGAGAGUCAAAGGAACUCUCGUGCUUUUACUCCCAAAACUUUACUUCCAAUGACCAAUCCUCCAAGACCACCACAUAAUGCCAUAAGCCAAGCUCCAAAUAGCCCUCAAAACCGAGAACAAGACAGACCAUUUUCCCCGCAAGUUGAUCAAGUCCAACAAAGAGGAAUUGGAAGCCAAUUUUCUCCCAUCCAAGCUCCACAACUGAAGCUCUACGUUACUAAAUCGAGUCUCUCAACCAAAACUUCCCUUUUAAAAAAUUGACACAUCCAAGAAGAGAAAUAUGGUAGAGAGAGACAUGGAGGACAUAGAGUCUACCACGGUGCUUAUAUGAUAGGAUACUUGAGUUAGAUAAGAUUGAAGUCCAAUCUCAAGAGGGAGAGGAAACCUAGGGUCAAAAUGAAGAUGUUGGAUCCAAGACUUGUUGUCAUUAUGCUCUCGAGUUUGGCUAGCUUGUGGACUGCUUUUGUGCAUUUUUUGUGGCUGUUUUUAGCUCUUCUUUGAUACAUCCCUUGUUAUUAUUGAGCUAUCAGGAUCUUCAUGUUUUGUGGACUGUUUUGAGUGGUUUCUUUUGAAGUGGCCAAUUGAACAAGAUGAAGGCGUGAAUUUAUGGGCAAAUUCCUCUCAAGAUGGAGAGGAUAAUACAAGAAUGAUCAUGGAUAUGGUGCGCAUUGGUCCCGAGACUUGGUGUGUGCAAUUGAAGUGUAGAAGAGGCCCAAAACACACCAAAAUCAGCCCAUAACUUUCACUUGAUGGGCAGUCCACUCUUUGAAGGCCCUUUUGGUCAUUUUAACUUAUAUCUUGUAAUAACUAUAUAAAGAACAAUGUAGGGUUUUAUUUACUUAGUUUAUGAAUUAAGUUGUAAGUCUUACAAUACAAAUAAACACAAUUCCUCUUUCCUUGAGGCACCCAAAACCGAAAUUAGGGCUUAGACAAGUGUAGAAUCACUUGUGUUUGCAUUUACUUGAAAACAUUGAUGCUUGGGAGGUGGAUUCCGAUCUUAUGUCUUUGUAAGAGAUAGGUUUAUUGUUGUGUGUAGUGUUAAGGGUCCAAGAAUUACCAUUUUUGUGUUCUUAACAUUAUACCUUCAUGUGGUCUAUCUAUCUAUCCCUUUUCUUUUGUAAUCCUGUAUUCGUUUUGUAUCUUGUAUUGUAAAGCCAUUUUUGUUGUUGUUCUUCUUUUUUUUCUUCUCAGUGUUGUUUCAUCUUGUGUUGUUAACUUAGUUUGUUUUUGGAUACAAAAGGUGUCAAACACCUAGAUAUAUUGUCCUUCUUGUAUUUCAUUCUUGAAUCCGAGAGUGGUCUUCAAAAGGGUCCUCGAUUCUUUAAAUUAGUGGACUAUUUUUUAAGUGUGUUUGGAUUGUUUUGAGCCAAUUCCGUGUGUUCCUUGGUUUUCUUGUAUCAUCCUUUUAUUUUCGAAAUCAAACUUCACUCAGAAGAGAAACCGAAAAAAUAUAAAGAAAAAAUUGUAAUUCAAAAUGCAGUUGCUGAUUCAAUCUUUUCUAAAAUUAUUGCAUGUGAAACAACAAAAGAAGCUUGGGAAAAACUUGAAAAGGAGUAUCAAGGAAGUGAGCAAGGCAGAUAAAAUCAAAUUUUGAAUUUGAAAAGAGAUUUUGAAUCUCUUAGGAUGUAAGAAGGUGAGACAAUUACUAAGUAUUCUGAGAGAAUUUCUUUGAUUAUCAAUAGAAUCAGGUUGCUUGGCGAAGAUUUUAAAGACAAUAGAAUAGUUGAAAAAAUUCUGGUGACUAUUCUAGAGAGAUUUGAGUCCCAAAUCUCCGCUUUGGAAGAGUCUAAAGAUUUCUCUGCCAUCUCUCUUGCUGAAUUGAUAAACGCUCUUCAAGCAUAAGAGCAAAGAAGAGUUUAUAGGAAAGACAAAGUUGUUGAAGAUAUUUUUUAUGUGAACCAUCAAAAAAGAAAAGUUGAUUAUCCACCUUGCAAAUAUUGUAAAAAGAAAAUACACUUACAAAAUUUUUGCUGGUGGAGAUCCGAUGCAUUAGAUGGAAGUUGUAAACAAAAAGAUCAUGUCACAAAAGUAUGCAAGUUCAAAGACACUCAAGAUAAUUCAAAAGCACUACUUGUGAAAGAAGAACAUGAAGAUGAGGAAAACCAACUUUAUUAGAUUGUUGUAACAAAAUUAAGAAAAAAUAUAUUUUUUUCAAGAAUAAUUAAGUAUUCAAACUCAAGUUGGAUACACCAACUUGAGUUUGAGGAGGAAUGUUGAGAUUUAUCUUCCUUCUAUUUUGUGAUUUUCACUAAUGGUAGAAUAUUUUUCUUUUUUCUUUUUUCUUUUUUUAGUCUAAGAAUAAUUUAUAUUAUUGAUUUCCUUUUAAGUCUAAGGUUUGUUAAUCACAGAAUAUUUAGUCUUAUAGCUAUAAGAAAAAUAUCAUAUUUUUCUUAUUUGUUUUAUUUAGUUUUUUAUAAAUAGAGAUGUACUCUUCUAUUUGAAUCAACGAAAAGAAUCAAUCUUGAGUUUCCAUUCAGUUUCUGUUUAAUUUCUUUCUUGUCUCUUUCAUUUUAUAACAAGAGUCUCGUGCUGAUAACGUGUGAUAAAAUAUAAAGUAGUCUCGUGCUGAAAACGUGUAAUAAAAUAUAAAAUUGAGAGACGAGAGAGAGCAAUUCUCAAGUGUCCUUUACAAGGAAGGAAAUCCUUCUAUUUAUAGGAAAAAUUAUCCAAAUAGAUAUCAAAUAAAUCUUGAAUUCUUGAUCGACAUUCACUAUAAUUGUAAAUACAUUCAUAAUAUUUUUUACUUUUUAAAAUUUCUCGUCAAUUUAAAACAAGAUAAAUAAACUGAAACGACAGAAGUAAUAAAUUGUUAAUUUAACUUAUCUAUAUUCUAUGCAGAUCAAUAUAAAAGAAAAUUUAAUAGCAGGUCAUACCUGAUUUACUAACCUCAGUACUUGUUAUGAAUAGUUAUCCGUAAUUAUCUUCUUAAGUGAUAAUAGUAUAAAAAUCGUUUCACACUAAUAAGAACACAAAAUUAUAGUUGAUGAGUAGUUGUAUGACUAGCAAGAUGCCACCUCAUCGACAAUUAUUUAAGUAAUUGAACUAAGUUCACUACUAAUGAAUAUAUCCAUCUUAUAAAUAGAGCACUAGCUGGGAUAUACAACAUUCACAGAUCAAAAUUGAAUCAUACAUCACACAUUUCAUCUUGUUUCAUACCAUAUAUAGUCAUAAUAGUCACUAUGGCAGAGGAGGAGAAACACCAUCACCACCUGUUCCACCACAAGGACAAGGCAGAAGAGGGCCCAGUCGACUACGAAAAGGAAAUCAAACAUCAUAAGCAUCUUGAACAAAUCGGUAAACUUGGCACUGCUGCUGCCGGUGCCUACGCCUUGGUAUGUAAAUAGCAUUUUCUUCUAUUCAAACAUGAUCAGAAUCAUUUGUUUUAGUUUAAACUAUAACCCAUCGAUCAUAAAAGAUGUCAUUUCCUGUAAAGUUUUUCUAUCGUGAACCUAUUUAGAUAGGUCACAUCAUGUGCCUAACUAAGAUCUAAAGACCAAUAAUUAAUAUACAUCCCUAAUAUUUGUUUAUUUUAUUUUGUUCGAUAUUCAUUUUAUAUUUGAUUUGUGGUCUAGUUAAUCAAGAUUCGUAUCGAAAAGUACAAUUUUGAAGGAUGAACUAAAAUGAGUUUAUUCUGAGAAUUCUUGAAAUCGAGAUCUCCAACAUAUCAAGGUUGGAAUAAUAGUUACUGUGUAUACGUACUCCCCAACUUCCGGUGAUCUAACGUACGUUUGUAGCUUCCACCAUUCGCUAUAAAUUUUUUCAUUGAGAGUAAAACGAGAAGUUUAAGUCAAAUUGCUAUUACUAAAUACAUAUAUAUAGAAACGUGUCAUUAUUUUUUGGACUAACUAAAAAAAAGAAUGUCACAUAAAUUGAAACAUAUAGAGUAAUUAAUCUUAUUAAUUAUGUUUCACUAUGUUUUCUCGUCAUACAGCAUGAGAAACAUGAGGCAAAGAAGGAUCCAGAGCAUGCACACAGACACAAGAUAGAGGAAGAGAUUGCAGCUGCUGCUGCUGUAGGAGCAGGUGGAUUUGCAUUCCAUGAACAUCAUGAGAAAAAAGAUGCCAAGAAAGAAGAGAAAAAAGCUGAGGGGGGACACCACCACCACCUCCACUUAUAAAUUGCUAUAUUUUGAUAAGAUUUUCUAAUAUUUGUUGUACGUGUGGGGAGCGUUGUCGUGGUUUCUUACCGUAAUGCUCUCUAGUAGAUAUGUUCAAGAAGAAGAAGUUCAGUGUGAUAUCAUUAGUAGAUGUGAAGAAGGUGAGGUGAAUGCAAAUCUUAUUCUAUUCUGUGUGAGGUUGAGAGGUCAGUGCGUGAUUUCCUAAAUAAUCAUGUGUGCGUUUGACUUCCCUUGUAAUUUUAUGUUGAACUACCUUGUAUUAUAUAGUGUUGCUUUUUAAGUUGUGUAAUAAAUGACUUUCCUUGUGAAUGGAUUUGUCUGCACUUUGCAUAUAUACUAUCAAUAUAAUGUACUAACUUAUUGGCCUUGGGAUAAGAUCACUCCAAACAAUCUUAACGGACCACAGAGUUUGAAAGAUUCAUAUUGUAGACUAUUUUAUGUCUGAUAAAAAUACAUUAUUGUUGGAAAGAAAAGCCAAUUUUAGUUUUGAAUUGCUUAGUAAUAUGUUCCAAAUGUCCUAAGCUCAUUCAAAAGAUACUUGAAAUUCAGAAAUGCCUCAACUAAAGUAAGGAGAUUAAGAAGAUAAUGUCGAUAAGAGUCACAGUUACUCACUUUGUUCAUCUUUACGUGUUCAUAUUAUUAAAAAUAAAUGUCCAAUCAUAUUUAGUUUGAAAAAUUAAUGAUAAUUAGUUACCUUGAACUUCUAAUAAGACAUUUGGGAUAAUGUACUUGAUUAAUUACCCCACUUUUGAGAAUAUACAAAGUAUGAAUGUCAUUAUUAUUGUAUACUUGAAACUCCGAAUGACUAAUAUACUUUAAUUUCAGCUAUGAAUAAUGAAAAGGAUCAUCCAAUAGCUGAUUACCAUUUUUUAAAAAUCCACUUUUAAUUUGAGAUUUUGAAUAAAAAGGGUCGAAAUCAAAGUAAUUGGUAGAAUGAAAGUUAGAAGUCCUGAUGACACCUAACAAGUGAAAAUAGAGAAGAUCUAGAUAUUAAUGAUCAAAUGAUGGGUCAUGGGAGGUACUCCCUCAAUUUUAUUUUACUUGCUAUUGUUUGACUUGACACGUUUAUUAAGAAAAUAUUACUAAUUUAAAAGUGUAUUUUACAAAAUUAACCCUAUUGAUGAUGUUUUGAAAUUCUAAAUCUAUUUUUUUAAUGUUUAAAAUUCUAAAUCUAACUAUUACUAUUUUUCUUAGUUAUUUAAUACUAGGGGUACGAUAAGAAAGAAGUAAUAAAACAAUUCUUGAUUUGUGAAAAUGAAUAAACAAUUUGAAACAAAUAUAUUUAGAAAGAUGGUAGAGUAAAAUGAAACGAAGGGAGUAUCAUUUAUAACCUAAAUGACCGUUGUAUGGUUAAUUAUUCUCUAUUAUUGAGGUUGAGAUUAGUUAAGACAUUACCAUAUAAUUUAGUUCAUUUCUCAACAUUAAAGAAGACAUUACCAUAUAAUUUAGUUCAUUUCUCAACAUUAAAGAAGACAGAGAUAUAAUCCCUCCACUCUGAACGUAAACUACUUUAUGUCAUUUACAGUUCCAACUUGUCAUAAAGUGCCACAUUCUCCUAAUCAAAUUCCAGCAUUAAAUAUGAAAAAAAAUCCUCAUAUAUAUGAACCACUUUGCUUUUUAAUAAAUCUUACCUAAUGCAAAUUUAAAUUAGUUGAGGUCGUAUAAAUAAACUUGAGAAGACAAUACAAGGAAACAAUUGAUAAAUCAUAUUAACUUUGCAAUCCAAUGAUUCAUUUAGCUCGAGUGAUGAGAGAAAGUAAAUCUCCAGUCUCCACGAAGUGAAUUAUUUGGCUUAAUCACGACAUAAAUUGCAAAGUAUUAACCUAUUGUCCAUCUAGCCUUUUAGAGUUUAGACUGGGCUGGUGAACUAUGGCAAAUGGCAGCACUUGAUAUUUGUUAAGAUUUCUCCUAGUUUACGAAUCUUUAGAUGCUUAUUCAGUCCUCACUUUUAUCUUUUUUUCUUCUUUAUUUUGGUUUCACUUAAUCAUCACGAAGAUAUCAACAAUAUGAGAAAGCAAGAAAAGUAUAAGUCGAAGGACCCUUCUAACUCAUUUUAGUUUGAAAGGGUUAGUGUUUAGCUCAUUCAAUAAUUCAAUCCAUCUCGAUUCAAUCAAAUUUACUCUGUCUAAUGUUGCACCUAUUUGGGAUUAGAAUAUAACCCUAGUUAAACCAUGAGACACACUUUAUUGAAAAAUUCUUCUUUUCUAUAUGUUAUAAAUAGUUCAAACAGUGGAGGUAUCAGAAUUUAAGGUUCGUGAGUGCUUAAAAAAAUUAAAAGCAGAAAAAAAAUAAAAAGAUCACCUCAAUGAGGUUUGAACCCAAGGCACCCCUUCCAAUGAAGAUCAUUAAGAUCAACUCAAAUGCCAAUAAACCCAACAAAUUUUUUGUUAUAAUAGGUGCUUUUACAUGUUUUAUAAAUAUUUUCAUAUAUUUUCAUAAUUUUGUUCAGAAUUAAAUAAUUUAAUUACAAGAAAAUAAAUAAAGAAUUUAAAAUGUGAUAAGAAUUGAUCGGACUAAAUUAUAACACACUCAUCACUUAGCUCACACCACCUCAAUGGCUCAAUCUAAAUAACUUUCUACAGAGUUGGACAAUAGCUCAUUUAUUGAUUUAUUCUCCCAACUUCAUCCAUCAAUAAUUUAGUUUAAAUCACUCAUUUUUCAUCCUUAUAUUUUCUUAAGCGUUUAAAAUAUAAAUUUACAACUAAUUAUUUUUUAGUUUUUAUAAUUAAAAAUGGUUAUAUUAUAAAACUUUAGAAAUUCUACACGUAAAACUCCAAAAUAUUACUACCAUGUUAUGAAACUUGAAUCUCUAGGAUAAUAGUUUUUUCUUAAGAAAAACAUAAUCGAAAAAUGACCCGUCUAUUCCUACCUAAAAAAACAAGACCUUGCCGACACGUCGUAUUAAUUAAUGGAGGGGGCCAUGAUGACGAAAGGUGCAACUAAUAAUUCAAAGGACCAUUUCACUCUAUCUGCUAAACAAGUGAAUUCCCGUAAUACCUUUUCCAUUUUAAUUCGUCCCUAAAAAAAANNNNNNNNNNNNNNNNNNNNNNNNNNNNNNNNNNNNNNNNNNNNUAUCUUUUACAUAUUAAUUCCAUCAUAAAAAAAAAAAAAAAAAAAUAAAAAAAAUCUAUCUUAUUAUAAUAAAAAAAUAAUUGAAAAAUUAUUUGUCGUUCUUCAUAAAAUUUUUACGAUCACAUAAACGUUCAAGAAUUAUUUUAGGUCAUAACCUUUUUCUAAAAAAAUAAAAUUUAAAUAUUAUAUUAAAUCCAACAAUUUCAUACAAAAUAAGAGACAUUCGCAUCAACAUGCCCACCACCCACUACUUGUCGACACUCAUAAGUAAAUAUCUCCAUCCAAUUAGACUAGUGUUUGUGCGGAUUCCACACGGGAUAUUCUUCCAUUCUUUAUCCUAACUAGCUACUAUUAUCUACUUUAUUAAAAUAAUUAUAAUAACCACAAUCUUUUUCUCUUUUUUCUUUUGAAUAUUAGCUCUUCAUAGAAAACAAAAAAUAAAAAUCAGAAUUACUAUGUAUCCAUCUAUCACUUUCUCUAGACGCCACAUAUACAUACAUGUGCCAUCCUGCGACUUGAUUAAAAAAGGUUUAUCUCCUUAAAAUUUUCAUAGAAGAUAUUUUAGAAAAAAACAAAUUGAAAAUCAACCUAAUUUUUUUUACCUUAAAUAGUUCACUCUUGUUUUUUAAAGCUUCAUUAAUUAAUUCUUCUCUCUUUUUCUUCUUCUUCUUCUUAUUUUUUUUUUUUUUUGGUUAAAGCAUGUUUUGAGAUUUUAUUCAUGAAUCACUAGUGUUACUAUAUGUUUUACUUUUGACAUAUAUCCCGUGUAAUAUUUUCCACACUCUAAAUAUGUAAUUCCCUUUUCCUUUAACGUAUAGGUAUAGUACAAAGGACUGUUAUCUAGCUAGGUGGAUUCCUGUUUUGUCUAAUUUGAAAAAUGCUAGUAUAAAGAUAUCACUAAAUAACUGGAGAUCGACUGAUCGAGAACGAGACAAAGAAGGGUCAAUUUAGUGGUUAUGUGAAUAUCAUUUUUCGCAAACAUUUUCUUUAACAAAUCUUUGUUCGACGUUUGUCCCUUAAUUUGUGAUAUUCGAUUAGAAAAAACACAACCUUGUUAAUUUCUGUGUAUGUUUAUUUAACAGUUGAAAGUACAACACGUUAACCCAAAAAAAGAAAAAAGAAAAAAGAAAGUACAACACGUAGGUCGAAAGACAUUUUUCUUUCCAUGUUUUUUUUUUCUGUGUAAGUUAGUUUCAAGCCAUUAGUUGAAUUUCUAUUUUAUUUUUGAUUACAAAUUUCGUGUUUAAACUUUCAAAAUAUGAAAAAAUAAAUUUGUCUGUUUUGUUUUUUUUGGAGAGGGGUGGGGGUGCUGGAAGUUCUGGUUUAUCAGCAUGAAUUGUAUUGUGGUGAGAUGAUUGAGAUCCAUUCAUCCUUGGCUAAAAGUCUCGAAUUUAACUAUUUAUAUGAAAAAAUUUAUAUUAAGAGUGUCACCCUAGAAAUGGGCCGCUCAAGAAUACAAAUUCGGAUUAAUCAAAUUCCAACGCAAGUAACAAACACCGGAUAAAAGGCAAGGCUAGCAUGAAUGCAAAGAACUAUAUUAGAGUAAAUAUACCAAAAAAAGUUUGCCGACACCCCUCAAAUUUCAACAGAUUCCAAAAUAUGGGUCCUAAUCAUAAUGCCGACCCUAUGUAUCUAUACUUUAAUUUCGUAUGGUCAAGAGAAAAUUAGGUACUAUAUCAAACAUUUCAUGUGGAGAGGGGUUGGGGAUUUAGGUUUCAAACAUAAUCAAUCAACAUGUGAUUUCCAACUUUUUCUUGUAGCUUUUAAUGGGGUCUUAAAGAUAACGUGUCAUUGUAAUUGAAAGAUUACAAUUCUAUAAAACGAUUUGUGUUGCUCUUUUCUUUCUUAAUAACAAAGUGAUGUUUAGAUUAACUUUCAUUGAUAGUGGUUGUGUUCAGCUUAUAUUAGACCUUAGUCGUGUAUUAACGUUAACAAAACAAAAUUUAUAAGUCACAUGUUAAUACAUACGCUAAUUAUAACAAGGACUACCUGAAAUCUAAAUAAAAUAAUUAACAAAACGCACACUUGAUCAUCAAAAUGUAUAACAAAUGCUCGGGAUACACGUGUAUUUAUAAAAAAAUAAAUUUUUGAUUCAACUCAACACUAAAAUUUAACUCACGAGGAGGAUUAACAAAAUUUAUAUAAAGAUUUCAUAAUUUCUUCGCCAUACGGACGUGGGACUUCAACAAUAUUAAUUGCAUAAUCGAAAUAGUGCUCCAUUGGAAUUGUAACACGUGUAGCCUUCUUUCGUUGCUAAUAGCUAUCCCGUUCUGUCACUUCCUUUUCUCAAGUUAAGAGGCAUUAACUUGUUCAUAUGUUUACUCCCUCUCUUUCAAUUUGUUUUAUUUAGUCUUUGCAACUGUCAAAAAAUAUAAUUAAUUAACAGCAUAAGAGGCAUUAACUUGUUCAUAUGUUUACUCCCUCUCUUUCAAUUUGUUUUAUUUAGUCUUGCAACUGUCAGAAAAUAUAAUUAAUUAGCAGCAUAAGAGGUAUUAACUUGUUCAUAUGUUUACUCCCUCUCUUUAAAUUUGAUUGUCUGAAUUUGAUUUGAUUCAAGCAGAUUCGGCUUAAGCAAAUCCGUGUCCUAAGGCAAAAAUCAAACGGAGGCCUUACGAUUUUAAGAAAAAAUAAUUAUUUUUAUAAUAUCUAUUUUUAAAAUUAUAUAAUCGUAUUUAAUAAUUCAUUUUGAAUCAAUAAUAUAGUCAAUGCAUUAAAAUGUUUUUACUAUAUCAAACUCUUAAAUUUUUUUUAUAUAAAAAGUUUCUUUUUUCUAUAAAUAGUAUUUAAUAUAUUUCUUAAAAUUUGUAUUUUAUUAUUACUAAAAUAAAAAAAAAUGAGGCCACUUAAAUUUUGGGGGCCUUAGGCGGCUGCUUUUUCUCCGAAAGGGUUGAGCUGCCCCUAGAUUCAAAAUUUUAAAAAUAAAAAUAAAAAAAAACUUUUGAGUCUUAUUGUGUAAACUAAAUAUAUGUAAAAUGUAUCAAUAUAGUUUGAUCUUGUAGUCUUAAAGUAGAAAACUAUAGUAAAAAAGUUGUCAUAGAGAAUUCAUGGAAUAAUAUGUAUAGGUAGUUAAUGAUAUCAAAAUAGUUUGAUCUUGUAGUCUUAAAGUUAAAGUAGAAAACUGUAACCAAAAAGUUGUCAUAGAGAAUUCAUGGAAUAAUAUGUAUACGUAGUUAAUGACAUACUUAAUCACGGGGGAAAAACAAAACAAAAGUUUGUUCUCAGUAAACAAGAAAAAUGAAUAAUGCGAGUAUCUUUUUGAUUUACGCUGACUAUGACAAUGGAGUUAAGCUUAGGUCGAUUAUUUUUGCCUUGGACAUUGAAAAUCCACGUAACAAACUUCCAUCAUGAACAUUGGAUAAGAACUCGUACACGUUCAUUGGAGAAACUAAUUAAUUGGUCCCCACUUCUCCUCACAUAGUCCAACACUUAUAAAUACCACUAAAUAUUAAGAAGAAAAAAACAUCCCAAGUAUUUUUUACAACUUUGUUCUUCUUACAAAAGUAAUUUACACCGUCACUCAAAUUAUCACCCAAAAACAUCAUGGCUGAAGAGAAGAAACACCACUUUGGUGGUCUCUUCCACCACCACAAGGACAAGGAGGAAGACACCCCCGUCGAGAAAACUACCUAUGGUGAAACAACCUAUGGAGAUAGUGAAAAAACUAGCUCUGGUGGUGAUAAUACAUAUGGCGAAAAAACUAGUGCCUAUGGAGAUAAUACAUAUGGAGAAAAAACUAGCACCUAUGGAGAUAACACUACAUAUGGUGAGAAAACUAGUUAUGGUGAUAAUACAUAUGGUGAAAAAACUAGCACCUACGGAGGAGAUAACACGUAUGGAGGUGAGAAAACUAGUUAUAGUGAUAAUACAUAUGGCGAAAAACCUAGCACCUACGGAGGAGAUAACACGUAUGGAGGUGAGAAAACUAGCUAUGGUGGAGGAGAUACGUAUGGAGAUAACAAAUAUGGUGAGAAAACCAGCACCUAUGGUGAGAAUACAUAUGGAGAGAAAACUAGUUAUGGUGGAACUGAGGAAGGUGGCUAUGGUGGAGGAGCUGCUGCCUAUUCAUCUGAGACUACUAAUUAUGAAGACACCACUGAAACCAAAACUGCUGAGGAUUAUAAGGAAGAGAAAAAACACCACAAGCAUCUUGAACAUGUCGGAGAACUCGGUGCCGUUGCCGCUGGCGCCUUUGCUUUGGUAAAUAAUUUUCCUAACAAUUAAUACGCCUAUGAUAGUAUUUACUGUGUGAGCAAAAUAUCCUUAAGGACAUUACUUUUCUUGACACACCAUAACCUAAAUUCUAUGUAUUCUCCAUAUGUAGUAGUGAUUUUUGCAACAAAAAUUUGCAAGAUAUACUAAUCAUGCAUCUAAAAGAUCACUAGUACGUGUAAUUGCCUAUGAUAAGUGAAAUUAAUAAUUCAAGACAUGUAAUGGUGACCACAUUUUUAAUUACUUUAAUACGGCCGGGUCUAACUUUUCCUUUUGAUGAUCACUUAAUUUCUUCCAUUAAUCUUUUUGGUGUGAAUGAAUGUUUCAGCAUGAGAAGCACAAGAUAGAGAAGGACCCAGAGAACGCACACAGGCACAAGAUAGAGGAAGGAAUAGCAGCAGCAGCCGCAAUUGGGUCAGGUGGAUUUGCAUUCCAUGAGCAUCAUGAGAAAAAGGAAGCAAAGGAAGAACAAGAGGAAGCUGAGGGAAAGAAGAAACAUCAUUUCUUCUAAUUUUCUCUCAUCAUAGCAUUUCUUUUCUUCCAAAAUAUAUGAUGUUAUGAGCUUUGUGUGCUUGCUCUAUCCUUGUUUGUUAU
rnacentral:lncRNA from 1 species